AUAAAAAAAAACUGAAUAAAAGUAACAUGAAUAAUACAAAUUUUUAAUCGGAUUAGUUAAUUAUUAAAAAUAAUAUAAUAUAAUAUUUUUUUGAAAGGAUAUUUGUCUAUCUUAGUGAAAUUAAAGAUUAGGAAGGCCACUUGCGCAAGUUGUAGCUAUGAUUAACCAAUAGCAAUCUAGAAAAGGAAAAAAGCUGCCUACAUUCCAAAGUGAGUGUCACUGUGAUUAAAACAAAAGCUAAAACCAAGUUAUGUCUUGUCUUCACUCUUACAUUUUGUUUCGCUGCAAAUUCCACGAAUAUAGAUAGAUAUUUUGGUCUCGCACUCAAUAUUUGUUAUAUGAAUACGACCCGCCCAAAUGUCAAUAAAUACCACCUCUGCCAGUCAAAUGGCCUAAGGUUGCCAGUCAAAUAACCAUUGCAGUAAGGAUUUGGAAACACAUGAUUGCAUCACUUACUUUAUGGGGCCUUUUGAGUGAUGGUGGUGACGGGGGAAAUGCAUUGUGGGCUGGUAUUUGAAAUAGAGCCCAAUCAAAACUUUCUGAAUCUUUCUAGGGUUUUCGAGCCUUUUUUUUUGUUUUAUUCAGUUUAUGCAAAUAAAUCAAAAGGGUUUCUGAUUUGAAUCAGUUUGGGUUAUUUGAAAGAUGGCGGAAACGAUACGUACAUCAGAAAAACCUUCUAAUUCCUCCUCGUUGAAUCCUCCUUCCCGUAUCAUCUGCCAUGUGUAUGUUCUUCUUCCUUUUAUUCUUCAUUUUUUUGUGAAUUUCAGAUUAUUUGUCCAAUAUUUAUUUAUUUUUCUCAAGUUUCAACUGAUUUUGCACAGUUGUCAGAAGCAAUUCUCGCAAUACACUUGCCCUCGAUGUAACUCACGCUACUGCUCUCUUCCUUGUUACAAGGUAAGGCCUCAAUUUCACGCUUUCUUCAAUCAGAAAUUGAUUUUUUUCUUUUUUUGUUUAGUUUGAUCUGAAAUGAAACAAAAAAGUUCUUUUUUGUGUGAAUUUUUUUUUACAGUCUCAUAGCAUUCGCUGUACCGAAUCAUUCAUGCGAGAAAAUGUAGUCGAGGAGCUGCGCCAUCUUCAAUCAGACGAUCAAACUAAACGGAAAAUGCUUGAAAUUCUGAAACGUUUCCAUUCCGAGGACGAAACCGAACCUUUAGAUGAAGAUGUUGAUGGUAUUUUCCUUGAUUUUGAAGUACCUAUAUAUAUAUUUGCUUUGUUUGUUUGCCUAAUAUAAGCCUUGAUUGAAUUACUGUAUCAAUGACAAAUGUAAUCUGAUUUUUUUUAUGGCAGACUCAAUUCUUUCGGAUGACACUAUUCGGAAGAUUUUGUCAGGUAAUCUUUGGUUCAAAUUCUAUGUAUUAAUUACGGUGAAAGUACUUGUCAAGUCCCUCUAUUAUAGGGUUGGAUCAAAUUAGUCCACUUAUUAUUAAAUGGAUCAAUUUAAUCAUUAUACUAUUAAGAAGAAUUAAAUAAGGCUCAUUAGUGACAUAGUUAUCAUUUAAUGUUUAAAAAAAUUGUCAUGAAAAUUAUUUUUUCAUUUGCAGCUCAACUCCAAAUAGAAGAUUCCCUUUUUAAAACCAUAAGAAGAUUUCAAAAUCUUAACUCUUUUAAAUUAUACACGACAUUUUUUAAGCUUUGAAUGUUAACUUUGUUGAAAUUUGGUUUUAUUUGAUUCUUUUUAGUAGUACAGGAACUAAAUUGAUCUGUUUAAUAAUAGAGGGAUAAAUUUGUUUAGGUCCCUUUAAUAGAGGGACCUGCCAAGUACAUUCACCUUUCAAUGACUUCGGUAUGCCUUUCGUUCAUCCAAUGUUUACAUUGAUUUGUCUUAUGAAUUUUGUGUUAUUAUAUGCUUGAACAUAAAUUUUUGUUGUUUCUUUUUUAUGUAGGAGGUGAAGUUAAUAUCAAUGAUUUAUCCCUUGAAGAGAAGAAACGGUUCCAAAGAGCUUUGGCAGCUGGAGAAUUGAGUAAGAUGAUUGAGCCGUGGGAUCCUUGGUGGUUAAAGCCUGCUGUCAGAACAAUCUGUUUAAGCAAGGAUGGAGCUCAACUUAUACAACCUAUGGCCAAUCGAGAAGAUCUUGAAAGCGACCAACCAAGCGAUAUUCCUUGUGGCCCCAAAACUCCACUUCCUUCGCUUCGUAAGCUCAUUUCUACGGAACCAUCUCCGCUCUUAGCUGUUCAUUUGGUUGAUAUCAUAUAUAGUUACUGCUUCACUCUUCGUGUCUACAAUGGAGAUUGGCAAUCGGAUGCUGUAGGUUCAGCAAUGAUGGUAUUGAGUAUAUCAUCUGUAUUAGGUCAAGCUGGACAGCCUGAGACUGUGCAGGAAGCUCUGUGUUAUUGCUUGGAGCAAACCUGCUCUCCGGCUUACCGGCACAUUGGUGGUUUGCAAUUUGGAUUGGCACUUGUUGAUGACAUAACAAACCUACUUUCCCUUGGAAGUCCUGCAUUGAUCUGUAUGCUUUGCGAUCUACAAAGGAUGAUUAUGGCUGCGGAAAGGGAGUUGAAAUCCGAGAAACAAAGAAAGCUGAGGAAGUCCGAAACGAAAAGCAAGCUGAAACUUGCUGAGAGGAAGGUUUAUUUCAUAAUGUGUUGGGUCCAUGAGCAACCGAACAAAGCAUUGUCUUCUUUGGCAGCCAUUGUGAGUGCAGAAAAGAGUUCGUUGAUGGAAUAUGGAGGCAAUAAAAGUUUUCCCAGAACAGAGAAGAAUGUAGCAGGAAACAAGGGCAAAGCCUUGAUAGAGGAAAUGUAAGGGUGUUAGUUGCUAAAAUAACCCUUUUUUAACAAUUUUCAAUAUGGGAAUUUUGUUGUUGUACAUGUACAUGAACAUUUCUGAUGUAUAUUUAAUUCAUAUCUUAGAGGGAUACUAACUAAAACAGAGUAUCAGUAUCCAUCCAUGUAGGUGUUCCAUAAUGUGCUUUUAGCUUAGCAUUCCCAAUUGAUAUACUCUGUUUUAAAAAUGCGAUGGUAAAUAUAUUAGAAAGUAAUAUAGAUUGAAAAAGCCUAUUUGUUGUUGCGCAAUAAAAGGAAAGCAGCGAACGACGUCGUUGCGAAAUCUAUUAAUUUCACGGCGCAUUAUUCAUUUCAGGCGGUUUUAAAAGGUCUAAUUCUGCCACCUAACCUUUUACUCUUCGGGUUUUAGAAAUUUAGUCCUUGCCCCUGGUCUUUCAUUCUUUGUACAUUUUUCCAACUACCAUCUGUUUUUAGCUUGUACCAACCAACCUUCGGACUCUCCCAAUACAACACCAUUUCAUGCUUCAGUAGGAUUCUGGCUUCCUUGAAGGUGAAAAAACUCCUUUUAAGUGUGCAAAAUAACUAAAAUUAAAAAGUCCAAAGAGUACAGGGACUAGAUACAGAAUUAAACCUUUUAAAAAGAAUCAAAAGCCAAUGGUAGUUACGUAAUUUCGGACAAGUCUGUCGUCCGAUUAUCUGUUACGAUCCCCUAAAGCAUUUGAACCCGAUCUUCUUCAAUCCAUAAACCCUUCGCUCUCUAUUUUCCCCUUAAACCAACCAUCCAAAUAAAUAGAAAUUAAAAGAGAAAACCCGAAGAAAAUUCCCUUGCCUCGGAUUGUUUUUCGUCCUUCCUUUCUCUGUCAGAAAGAAAGGAAAAACCCUAAUAUUUUUCAUUUUGUAAAUUCUCGAGAAAUGGUUGAUGUAGCCGAUAAAUUGGCAUGUUUUCAAGCGGUGACGGGCCUUGAAGAUCCCGAUUUGUGUACGGAAAUCCUCCAGGCUCAUGGUUGGGACCUCGAACUGGCUAUCUCUUCUUUCACCUCUUCCAAUCAAUCCUCUGCUUCCACAAUUACGUCCGAUUCUGACCCUCGCGAUUCUCUUGACCCCACCCAAUCCGCAUCCAGUUCGGGUCUCGUUCCCGCUCCCAACCCCAGCAUAGCUUGGAAACUCGUUACAUUGCCCUUCUCUGUGAUAUCCGGUAGCCUCGGGUUAGUCUCUGGAGCUGUCGGGCUUGGAUUAUGGGCCGCCGGCGGAGUUCUUUCGUAUUCCCUUGGGAUGAUCGGCCUGGGACAGGGGCGGGGCGGGGAAUCAUCGGCACGAUUGGUCUCAGUCUCAGCUGCGGCUUCUGAAGCUAUGGAAUUCGUGGCGGCAUUUGAGAGAGACUACCCGACGACUAGGCCGAAUUUCGUCGGUGAGGGUUUCAUGGACGCCUUGCAGAGGUCAAGGAACUCCUUUAAGCUGUUGUUUGUGUACUUGCACUCGCCGGACCACCCGGAUUCUCCUGUAUUCUGUGAAAGGACCUUGUGUUCCGAGGCAGUGGCUGCCUUUGUGAAUGAGAAUUUUGUGGCGUGGGGCGCCGACAUUAGGGCUAGUGAGGGUUUUAAAAUGAGUAAUAGCUUGAAGGCAUCUAGGUUCCCAUUUUGUGCCGUGGUUAUGCCUACUACGAACCAGAGGAUUGCACUCCUUCAACAGGUAUCAACACUGUGAUUCUCACUUCUAUUUUGAAUUGUUAAUAAUGCAAUAAGUUAAUGUUUUUGGGAACCCAAAAUCAAUUAGAUAUCCUUUUGGCAAAAGCAGAAACUGAAAAUGACAUAUUAUCGUUCAUGCUUUAGAUAUUUUUUCGUAAAUUUUUGUGCAGUGAACCACAUGUUAAAUGGGUAAAACUCAGGGAUUUCAUUCUAAUUCUUUGUCAUUGUGCUUCUGCUGAGCAGAAAGUUUAGAUGUAAGUUCUUGCUAGUUUUGUUUUGCUUGUUGGUAAAUGCCUUUGAAUAUGGAUUUUUGGGUGGGCACUGAAGUUUUGACAUGGCGAAUAGCUAGGCGUAUGAGUUCUUUUUUAAAGCCUGAAAAUGCUGAAUAAGUCAUAUUCUAAAUGAUUUAUUAAACAAAAGCUUAUCUGAUUUUCAGUACGCCUACCAGUUCUUUAUAGUUUGUUAUAAGGCAUUUGUGACUUAUAUCAUGCUACAAUUGGGCUUUGCCUUUUUAGUUUCUUUACAUUAAGAUGCAGCUUUUGCUCGAAUUGUGCCUUCAUUCCUGUUUCUCAUAUUAAAUUCGUUUGACUAUUGUUUUUAGUGGAUUGAUUGGACUCUUUAAUAGCACUCCUGUUUCUCAUAUUUUUAACUUUAGGUCAGCAUAAAAUAACGGAGCUAAACCGGCCAGUCAGACCAGUUCAACUGUGAACUGGUGGCCUAUCUAGCCCAGUACAUUAUAACUUUUCUGAGCCAAUAAAACCGGUUUAAUUGGUGAUCUUGCAUGGUGAUGCUCUCUUUCUUCACAGGUUGAGGGACCAACAUCUCCAGAAGAAAUGCUCACGAUGCUGCAGAAAGUGCUUGAAGAAAGUUCUCCUGUUCUUGUUGCUGCAAGACUGGAUGCAGAAGAGAGAAGAAACAACAUGCGUUUGAGGGAGGAGCAAGAUGCUGCUUACAGAGCAGCACUUGAAGCUGAUCAAGUAGGCUGCUUUUAAUUUUAAAUUAGUGGCUUUAAUACAGUUUACUACAUAUUUGGCUAGAUGGCAUACUCUAGUUUCUUUUUCCUCAUUACUGCCAUUAUAUUCCAAGAAGACUGAAAAAGGAUAAUAAUAAUCCCUUUUUUGCUUACUAAAUGUAUUUGUGCUUUAAAAAGCACCGUUGGAAUGAUAAAAUAAUAGCCUGACUAAUCUUUUCAUUUUAUUCAUGACAUUAGGCUAGAGAACGCCAGAGGAGAGAGGAGCAAGAACGUCUGGAAAGGGAGGCCGCCGAAGCUGAGCAGAAACGGAAGGAAGAAGAAGAAGCUCAUGAAAGAGCAGCACGUGAAGCUGCUGAAAAAGAGGCUGCCCGGGCUAGAAUGCGAGAACAAAAAGCCUUAUCACUUGGUGAUGAACCUGAGAAAGGACCAAGUGUUACACAGGUAAUUUCAUUUUUCUUGCUUUCUUUAUGGUUUAGGCACUUUUAUUAUCUCACUUCUAAUGAUCAUUCAUUCUUCAUCAUCCUUGCAUUUUCCACUUUUCUCCAUUGGCAUGCCUAAUACUUAUCCGUUGCCAAAUUAAAAUUAAACAUAUGCAUGUUGUGUUGGGAAAACAGGUAUUGGUACGGUUUCCCACGGGUGAACGCAAAGAAAGGAGAUUUCACAGCACGGCAACAAUCCAAUCAGUUUAUGACUAUGUUGAUUCAUUGGGUUGCUUAGAAGUUGAGGAUUACAGCCUUGUGUCCAACUUUCCUAGAGUUACAUAUGGUCGAGAUAAGCAAUCCUUGAGCUUGAAAGAAGCAGGAUUACAUCCUCAGGCCAGCCUUUUUGUGGAGCUAAACUAGUCUGAACUGAAUUAGGGUUGAUACUUGUCAUGUUGUAUGAUCUUAAAAGUUUUCUGCAAUUACUGAAGUAAAUAUUUUUAAUAUGCUUCUUGUUUCUAGUUUCAACAUAAUCAGCGAACCAUAAUUUGAGAUAAAGAUAGCAGGGACUCUGAAUUCUAUAAGAUUCGCUCGAUCAACCAAAUGGCCAAAUUUUUCAUUUCAAUCCACCACUAGUAUGUAGAAUUAUUAAAAGUUUAAAGAAAUGUUCAUGUAUUUUUAUUUAUUUAGUUUUUGAUUUUUUAGAUUUCAAUUAAACAUGCAGUGCUUUACCUAAUUCCAUUUAUCAAAUAAUUAUUUUUUUAUUAUGUCGUUUUAUUUAUUUUUAUAAGAUUUAUUUGUUCUAAAAUUACUUAUAACAUUUAUGUUCUUGUAACAAUCUCAGAUAUUAAGUUUGUAGCUCAUUUUCUAUAUCUCAAGUUAGUUAACUUAUCGUGCUUUUUAGAAAUAUAUAUAUAUGUAUCUUUAUUGAGAAGUCACAAUUCCUUUAAAUACAAAAUGAGAAAUGUAAAAGGAUUAGAAAUCGAUCAAUAAAAUCGUUGCGAGUGUUCCCGCCUGUAAUCCAGGUGACGCGGGUUCGAUCCCCGGAAACGGCGUAUUUUGCCGAAAUUAUGGACCUAUUAUUUCUAGAAAUUUGCACAUCCGUUAUUAUGAAGGAAACAAAAUUGAAAAUAUGAAACGCCUCUAAAUAAAAUAAUAAUAAAAAAGCAAAUAAAAUUAUGAUGGUCAAAGAAAGUCAUUGAGAGAGCAAGCAAAUAUAAUUAUGAUUUGUCAUACACUAAAUAUAAAAAAGUAAUUACGAGAGCAAAUAAAAUUAGAAUGCAUUGGGCUGUUGAUAUCUCCAUAACGUGUAUAAACAAUUUCAGUCGGUUUUCAUCUGACAAGAUAAUUUCUAUUUUCACAUUAAAAAAAAUUAUUUUUAAUUUUGUGCUUUGAUUCGAAUCGUUAGAUCUACACUGGAACCAGUUCAUGAUACGUGACUAGUGAAGAAAAUCGUUUGGUUGAAAGUUAAAAAUGAUAAAGAUCCAUCUAUCCAAAAACAAAUGUAUGAAUCUAGUCUAGGAUUUAUUACUAUAAAUAUUACAAAUUGGGUCGAUUUUUAAAAUUUUAAUUUUCUACUAUACAAGAAAUUUGUUUUUGAACCGGAUUUUUUUCCAAUAACUUGAAUAUACAUCACACAUAACUUGAAUAUACAUCACACAUUCAAAAAUACUAAAAUGAGUUAUAUUUUGCUCUUGACCAAAAAUCAAUUGUAAUGAGGAGUAUUUAUCAUAACUUAUUGAUAUGAUGCGUACAAGUAUCGAUUCAUAUAAAAUAUUAUAUCCUUAUACAAAAAAUUUUGUUCUCAAAAGAUAUGGUUUACUACUAAUUAGAGGCAUUUAAUUAUUAAUUAUGCUAAACCAUAUAUAUGUAUAAACAACGGACUUUUGCAAUCAUUGAAAGCCUAAGCAAUAAACUCACAAACAUUAGCAAAAAUUGUCUCUAUUAUAUAAUCUAAAAGUUUUAUUCUUAGACAAAUUAUUAAACAAUUGCACAAUUUGAUAACUCACGUAUGUUUAAUUUGGAGAUGCAUCUAUUAAAAUAAUAGCAAAACAUCCAUUUUUUUUUUUUAUAAUGGACCCAUAUUUCUUUCAGAAAGACUAGAGAUUUAAUCUCAACAUUUAUUAGUGAGGUUCUAAUAAUUCAUAUCUUUUUAAAAUCAGUCACAAUUAAUCAUAAAUUAAAAUUAAUAAAAAAAAUUUAGUCAAAUAUGAAAUAUUAAAAAAAAUAAACUAUAUAUAAAAUUUGUAACACCCCCUAACCCCAAACCGUUACAGGAACGAGGUUAUGAGGCAUUACCGGACAUAUCAGAAAACUUACGAAUAAUUUACAAUUAAUAUAACUUUCAUAGUAUAAUAUAAUAAUUAAGUCCCUAUCUUGAACUCUCGAAGUUCAAACACGUAUUAAAAGUAGAACGGGACUUGUUCGAGUAUUCCAAAUUUUUUUAUAAUAAUUUCGGCAGCAUUUCUGCUUAUUUUUACCUAAACCUUCUGCAAAUUCAAACCAAAACAACCAACACCAAUAUUUCACAUUCAUAUACUAAUAUUUAUAUUAUUAACAAAAUUUUAAUUUAAUAACUAUUAUAGCAUCAUUCAAAAUUGAUUAAAAACUUCAUUCAUUUAACAACUUGAUGUUCAGGUAUCAAAAUAUCAUGUACUUUCCUUACCAUUUCAUUUAACCAUCUAAAUUUUAUAAUUCAUCCUUCACUACCCAAAGUAAUAUACAUAUUCAAGUGACUAAAUAACACCUAUGUACAUGCCACUUUUACUCAAAAGAAAAAUAUACAUCACCAAGUUUGUGUUGGAGUCGGGAUUGUUCUGGAUGCUGAGCCGGGACACUUGACUUCUACUAACCUGCGCACGGAAACAACCGUACGCUGAGUAUGGAUAUACUCAGUGGUAUUACUAUAAUCCAAGACUAUUUAACAUUAAUAAAUUACAAACAUCAAUUAUUUACCCUAUUAACAAAUAAUCUCAUUUUCAAAAUUUCAUUUCAAUUAUUUACCCUAUUAACAAAGCUCGGACUAUGAAAGAUACGCGGAUUUCCACCCAAACACACCAGAAUAUCCAACCCAAACACACCCAGAAUAUUGUAAAUCUUCCAUAACACACCGAUAUAAUAUAUCCUCCCAAACACACCAAUAAGGCAUUAAAUGCCUAUUCGGAUAAACCGAAGUAUAUAAUAACAGAAACAUCUUCUCGGCCGAACUACAAUCUCUUCAUCACAUCACAAAUCCAAUGGCAUGCCAUUUGUAUCGAAUCUAGUCCGACAAGUUAAUAGGGUAUUAUUUUACUUUUUCUAAUUUCAAUUUCACAUACUUACCUCAAGUCUUAUUUACCAUACAUAACAAUUAAAAUUUCAGCAAUCAAUAAUAAUUAAAAUUCGAAUUAUAGUAAUACACACCAUAAUUCUCCCGUUUUAGUCCUCGAUGACUUUCUCAUUUCCUUUCGAUGCUGAUGCUUCAGGUUAUUUGUUGGCUACGAAAAUAAUAAUUUAUAAUCAUCAAUACAACAUGAUUCAAUUUAAUUCAUGAGCCUAAACAUGCAAAUUUAACCAUUUUUAAUGUAUAUAUAUAAUUUCACCAUUAAGCUGUCUACUUGAGUCAUUGUUACUAAAUUAUUUAUAUCUUGAGCUACGAAACUCCAAAUUAAUAUCCGUAAAUUUUCCUUAAAACUAGACUCAUAUAUCUUCUAACCAUAAAAUUUCCAGAAUUUUUGGUCUAGCCAUUUAGUACAGUUUAUUCAUUAAAUACUCCCCUGUUAUUUCAUUUGACAGUUCUGACCUCUUUCUACUAAAAAUAAAUUAUCUCAUUGUACAAAACUCGAAUAAGGUUCUUGUUUAUUUAUUUUGAAACUAGAUUCAUUAAGGAGUUCACAUAUAUAAAUUACACUCAAUAAUAAUUUUUGUACAAUUUUUAAUGAUUUUCCAAAGUUAAAACAGGGCAUCUCGAAAUCACCCCGAACCAGUAUUACAAAAUUUCAAAUAUCUCUUGAUUCAUCAAUUAAUUGCUUACACUGUUUCUACUAUAAGAAACUAGACUCAAUAAGCUUUUAUUCUAUUUUUUGUUCAUCCUCUAGUUCAAUUUAUAAAAUUUUUAGUGAAUUUUCAAAGUCAGACCAUUGCUACUUCCCAAAACUGUUUUGAUGUAAAAUGUUAAUAACCAAAUUUAUAACACCAAUUCACACCUUAUUCCUAUUCAAAUUUCAUUUAAACUCAAAUUUAACUAUUAAAUUUUCAACAUAUUUUCUUAAUUCCGAAUUUUCCUCAAUUUAGUCCCUAAAUCACAAAACUUAUAGCUUACUUUGCAAUUCAAUCCUUAUAUCUAUUCUAACUUGAAUUUCAUUCAAUUAAACCCCUAUUUCAUCAUUUUAUCCAACAUGAACUUUUUUUAAAAACCUAAGAACUUCCAAACUAACAACUUAAUUUCAUCAAAAACUUGUUUUAAGACUUCUAAAAUAUCAAAAUUAUGAGAAAAGGACUUGAUUGAGCUUACCAAUUAACUCCAAGCUUCAUAAACCCUAUUUCCCCUUUUCUUUCUUCUUUCUCCCCUGUUUCUUCUCUGUUUUCGUUUUCAUUUCCUUUUCUUUUAACUUAUUUGUUUCUUUUAUAUAUAAUAAUAAUAUAAUAUAAUAUAAUAUAAUAUAAUAUAAUAUAAUAUAAUAUAAUAUACUUAAUUAUUAAAUAAAUAUAUAUAUAUUUUUUAAUCAAUAAAAUCUUUGAUAUAUUCCAAGUUAAACCGCCUCAGUUAUAGGAAAUGGUUUAAUUUCCUCUUAAGUCCUAAUUUUUCUUUAAUCUAUAAUUAAACUUUUACCCUUAUUCAAUUUAAUCCUUUUUACUAAUUACUCUAAAUUAAGUUAAAUUUACUUAAUUAAAACCUAAUUAAACACACUACUAGACUCAUAAAUAUUUUUAAUAAUUAUUUUCGAACUUAUUUCACUAAGACGGAGGCCCGGUAACACACUUUUCUGGUGCCCACGGAUUUUAGGUCGUUACAAAAUUUGCAUAUUGAUAUUUAAGAUUUUGGAUGAAAAAUCGAGAAUAAAUUUAAUUGUCGAUUUGAGAAGGCAAUCACUUUUUUUUUUUUUGUGAAAAAGGAUGCAAUCACUUUUAAACAAGAUAAACGAUAUUUUAUAUAGAGUUGUUAUAAAAUAUAAUUUAAAAUUCUUGGAACAGUUAAAUCGUUAAAAGUGAAGAUAGCAAGUGAAAGUUAUUGGUUUAAAUACCUUAACUUGCAUUAAUAUUUUCUUUUUCCUCUUUGGCGCUGCCAAUUGGUUUUAUAAUUUUUUUUCGCAUGUGAUAUCAAAUAUUGUGGAUUAGACGAGCGACAAGAUGUUGAGGUUGGCUUCUAAGUAAUCAAGUUUGAUCCUUUUUGAGGCUUCUUAUAGAGAAUUUCUUUUACUUCUUUUGCCUAGUUUUGGAGUGAUUUAUUGAGAAAAUUAAAAAAUGGUUAAAAAUAGGACGGAUUAAGAAAUGGCUUAAAAUAAUGAUGGAACGUGUGAAAAAGGAACUCGAGUAUUGUGCUGAUAAUGUGUUAUGAAAUAAAUAUCAAAGAAUGUAAAAGAAUAAAGAAAUUGAGAGAGUAAAAGAGAAUGUAUUUUUAUCGAUCAAUCAAGUUUUUUAUAAUAUUUCUUCAAAUUCUAUAUUUAUAGAUAUAAAAAGUAUAAACAAAAUAAAUUUCUACUUUUAAUGAAUUAAAGUCAUAAAAUACAUCAAACUUAUAUUGAUAUUGAUGGAUAUCCACUUACUGAUAAGAUAUUCAUAACAAUGAUUUAUUUAUUUAUAUUUUUUUCUAUUUUUGCUUAAUUUUUUUAGGCUUAAUCUAUAAGUUGGUAUAUAAACUAUACAAUUUUUUCCUUGUUAGUAUUUAAACUUUUUUUGUCGCAAGUGGUAUCUAAACUAUCUUUUUUCCUAAAUUGGUACCUCAAUUAGUCAAACUAUUAAGUCUAUUUUAAAAUAGGCUUAACUCACAAAUUGGUAUCUAAACUAUGCCUUGUUUUUUUCCAUUUCGGUACCUAAACAUUUUUUUUGUCACAAGCGAUAACUAAACUAUUUUUUUUUCUAAAUUGGUACCUCUGUAGUUUAAUUGUUAGUUAAACUGUUAAAUUUUAAGAAAAAAGAUAAUCGAUUAAAAAUUGAUGUAACAAGAAAGAUAAAAAAAAUUCUUAUAUAUAUAUAUAUCUUUUAUUUUUUCAAAAUUAAACUAAUGAUUGAACCAAUCAAGCCACCAAUUAUUGGUUUGAUCAGUUCGCCCAGUUUAGUUAAAUAAAUUAUUAAAGAUUUGUAAAAUAUUAAAAAAUAAAAAAGAGAAAAUUAGUUCAAUUGCUUUUUUUAGCUUGGUUCAAUCGAUUUGUGUCGAUUCACAAGUCAAUCGAUUCAAUCUCGAUAUGUUCUCUAUCUAACUUUUCGACCUCUUCAAGUAGAACAAGCAAACAAUGAAGUUCAAAAUAGAAUAAAUUGCUAAUGCCUCGACUUCAAAAGGGAAAUUUUCGAGCAUUGUUAGAUAAUAUAAAAGAUGAAGAAAGAAAGAAAAAAGAAAAGAAAGGAGAGAUAAUGUAAAUGUAAAAUAGAAAAAGGAAAAUAAAAAAAAAUUAAAAGUAGUUUUUUAGGUUUAUAUAUAUCACGAUUAUUUAUUGAUUGUAAUUUUUGUAACGGAAAUUAAAUUUGGUAUAAAAAUAAAUAAUAAAAAAAUAAUUUAGAUAUCGAAUUUAAAAAAAAAUUAAAUAUUAAUGAGUGGGUUAAGCUCUUUUUGAAAUCGAUUAAAUGGUUGACUAACGAAUGUAUUUUCUUUUUUAAGUACAGAGAAUUUGGUUAAGUUUAAAAAUAUGGACCCGUGACGGUGAUCGACAAAGCGCAGUAAAGCAAAGCAAGAACAAUUGAUGCCAAAAAAGGUAGAAGAAAAAGAAAAAAACUCAGAUUUCCAACUGGGUGGAGCGGGGGAUCCUUUUUCUACUUUCUUUCAAAAACCGAACUUUAUGGUUUGCCACGCGCGCAAUCUCACUCGUUUCACGGGCCUUUCGCUUUUGCCUUUUUAACCAUAUGCACCAGUAACCGCCAUUGUCUUUUCUUUUUCUUUUUCAUAUAAAAAUUAUUAAAAAAGAUAAAACUUAUUAACAAUUUAUUUAAAAUAUUAAAAAUAUAGAAAAUUAUUUAAAGGUUUGGAGCCUUUAAUUCCGGUAACAAGAAAAUAAAAAGUCUGAAGUAUAUGAAGGAAAUUGAUGUUUUAUUAUAUUUACAAGUAUUCUAUAUUUUUAUAAAAUUGUAGAAAUUUUUAAAAUUUAUUUAAGCUUUUAAAAAUAAUUUGAAUAUUAUAAAUAAUUCUAAAAAAUUUUAAAUAUUACUCCUUCUAUAUUUUUAAAAUUUACAAGUUUUUAUCAUUGUAAUAAUUCUUAUAUAACUUUCUAAUAGUUUUAAAUAUUUUUAAUAAAUUUUCUAUAAUUUCUAAAAAAUAUAUAAUAUUUUUUUAUUUUUUUCCUAUAUUUUUUAUAAUUUUCUAAAUUUUUAUAAUGCUUUAAUUUUUAACCUUAAAUGCUGAAAAAUCCUCAUAAAAUAAUUAUAAAAUCAAUAAAAUUAUCACAUCAUCAUUUUUUUCAUGUCAAACGCUAUGUUAGCCUGUCACAUUAUUAUUUUCUCUCAUUAGCCAUCAUAUUAUCAUUUAAGGAUCAUAAUAAUUUUAAUAAAAAAUUAUAUUUCAAUAACUCGAUUGAUUACUAAUUUUCGAUUAAAAUAAUAAUUUUCAAUUAAAAAUUUAAUUAAUUUUUAAUUAUUUGACAAGAGUUUUUUAAACAUUUAAACCUUUUAAAAAAAGAUAUAAUCACUUUUAAUUAUAUAUUGGUUAAAAUGAAUUUAUAUGAUUAUUUAAUUAAAUUGAUAUUGGACUAAAAGCAGUAAAUAACCCUACUACUUAUUAAUUAAUUUAGAUUAAUAGUCUACAUAAUGUAUAUAAAAGUAAAAUAAAAAAUAAAAAUCACUUAAGCUUAAACAAAUUUUUAGACUUAUAAUUUAAAUCGGGUUUAAAUAAGUAUAGAAUAUAUUAAUAUCAUGUUUAAGUCUAGUUUAAUUUUGACUAAACUCAACUUAUGAAUACCUUUAACAGUAAACAUUAUAUAGUAGUAGUAUGAUACUAUCUGCGAGGCCAAUCAAAAGAACAAACCCCUUCGCAGCCUCCUAUGCCAAGUUAGCUAGAUGAUUUGCAUGUUUGUUGCCUUCUCUAAGAACAUAACUCACUUCAACAAUUCAACUCGCAUGCUAAUCAACAAUGAGUCAUGGGAUUCCAAGAUUCUUGGCCAACCUUAACCUAACAACACCUUCAAAACUCCUAAAAAAUUAAUUUUAAAUGUUGUAUUUUUUAUUAAACCUGAAAUUAAAAUUUGUAUUUAUGUUAAAUUAUACUUUUUAUUAUGAUUUAAAUUAUUUAAUUUUAAAUUACAUUUUUAUCGAUAAUUCAAUAAUAUAAAAUUAAUAUACAUUAAUAUUCAACAUUUAAAUAUAUUCAUUCAAUUAAAAAUUAAACAGAUAAAUCAUAUAUAGUACAUGUAAAUUUAAAAAUUAAUAAAUAUAAAAUGAAAAUACAUUAAAAUUUUACUUAUAUCUAUAAGUCUCAUAACUAAAUAAAAUUUUUAUUUGAAAAGCAACAAAUCAUGAGUGUAUUUUUUGUAAAUAUUUUAUAAAAUCACAAAAAAAAAACCUCAAAACGAAUCUACAAAUGGUAAAACUUGAACCUAGAACAUUAAAUUCUCAAAAUUUUAAUUUUAUCAUUUUAAUUAAAAUUUUAUUUGUAAAUUAUAUAUUUAUACAUUUUUUUUUCACGCACAUCGUGUCAACUUCUCAUAAUUUAAUUUAUAUGAAAAUCUAUAGAUAAAAGUAUUAGAGAAGCCUAUACUUAGGGGUGGAUUGCAUUUCGAUCCCUCUAUUAAAAAAUAGGUAAAUUAGCCCUUAUAUAUAUAUUAUUUUUCAAGGUAUCUACGGAGCGAGGCUAAUAACUAAUGGGAGAAGACGUUGGUCAUGAGUUUUAAAACUGUUCCAUACCUAGGGUGAAGAUCAAACCCUCACUAUAACUAAAAUAUCAUUUUGAUUUCUUAAAAAUUUUCUUAACAAUAAUUCUAAUAAAAUUAAAUUUAUAUUUUUUAACUAGGCAAAAAAUAUUUUAAAAAAAAGUUACAUUUUUAAAUUAAUUAACUACAGGGAAUUCCUGAUGCGUUUAGCAAAUCUAUAAUUCUAUAUAUAUUUUACUUUAAUUUAAAAAAUUAAGGAAAAUAUUCCUUGGUAACAAAGAAUUCUAUAUAUCUCCAGCAACUUGCAACUUGGUGUAUAGCAAUUAAAAUCCCGUGAAACGGAAAAAUUAGUAGUAAUUGAUUCCUUUUAAAAAACUUCAACCUCAGACACACGCUCCUAAAUAUGCGCGUGUGAUUCUUCUACUUCCUUAUCCCUACAUGCCGUUGCCGAUAAUGAUACAUCCGUUUAUGUCCUUUUAAAUUAAAUUACUUCCCUAGGCCUUUUUCUUUUCUCUCUCUCUCUCUCUCUCUCUCUCUCUCUCUCUCUCUCUUUUUGAUAAAACUCAUCUCUUUUAAUCCUUAGGACUCCAAAUUUCCCAGUGAUUAGGAUUCUUGGUGUCUCAGAAAAAUUCAGAAAUCUCUUGAAACCUAAAGCAAUUAGGUAAUAAUUACAAUGCGGAUAGCAUUAUGCGGGGAGAAUUUGGGAUUGGUAUAAAAAUGAAGAGAAAAUCGAAUCCAGGGAGAAAUAGCUUUAUGGAAUUGGAAUAUCCGGAGACUGAAGAAGAUAUGUGUUUGUUCGUUGCCUUCGGAUGCCGGUUCCGAUUCCGAUCGGCAUUCGAUUCCUACUCUGUGGCUUGUGAAGCGUUCUCUGAAAAACGACAGCAGAUUCUCUCCUCUUCUUCUUCUUUGCAUCUAAUCGGUGUCAAGCUUCAUCUCGAAUAGCGUUUUCUGCAAUUUUUUUUUUCUUUUGGAGUUUUUCUUGUUUUUCUUUUUUUUUCGAGGGUCUUCUUUUUGGCUGUUGUUGUUGGAAUUAUCGAUCGGGUUGCGGCGGCGGUUGGUUCUUUGUACAUAGAAACAAUGGAGGUGGCUGAUGACUGUGAUUUCGCUGAGAAAGAUCCGUCGGGUCGGUAUGUGAGGGUAUGUUUUCUGGCUCCGAAUCCUGUUUAUAUAUAUAUUGUUCGGUUUCUCUUUGUUAGGGUUAGUAUCUGUUUGGUUGGCAAGAAACUUGGAAGGGAGCUAUUAAACUUAUAUUUCUCGAAUUCUAAUAGAAAUUGUGGGACUUUUUAAUAUAAUAAUCAAAUACUGCGUGCUGUUUAGGCGUAAUUUAGUAAAAAUAUUGUCAAAUUGCGGUCCAAGGUGAGAUUGUCAUCAAUUUCUUAGCAACCAAACAGCGUCAAGUUUGAGUAAUGGAAUCAAUUGUCUAGAAUUUAACCAACUUUGGUUAUAGCUUAGCUUCUACUUAGCUAAUAAUUUGUAAAUAUUUCUUCUUUAGCUAUUUUUACCGCUCUUGUAAGAUUACUUUUUCUUGCUCUAGUCAUUGUUGAGAAAAAAGGGAAUUAAUUGCUUGUUGUACUCCCAUUUCAGUGAACAAUAUUAAGCAUGAUCAACCAAAAUGCCGAUGUUAUUCAAGAUAUUCUGAAAUUAUUUAUAUUUUCUAAAAUAGUUUGUUUCAUUACAACGUAAAUUAGUUUGCACUUUUGAACCUAGUGUUACAAUUUUCAUUUUUUUCAUUUGCUUUAUUUUUAUUUCCUCAGUAUGAUGAGGUCCUAGGGAGGGGAGCAUUCAAGACUGUGUAUGGUUCCAACACCUAUCUUCUUUGAAUUUGAAUAACUUCGAUAGGACUGUCUGUUUGAUUGUUUUUCCUGGUUUGGCUGCUACAUUGUUGUUUGUAGUUACAAGGGAUUUGAUGAGGCUGAUGGAAUAGAGGUUGCAUGGAACCAAAUCAAUGUUGAAGAUGUGUUGCAGAAGCCUGAGCAGCUGGAAAGACUAUAUUCAGAGGUUCAUCUUCUGAAGUCACUGAAGCAUGUAAACAUUAUCAAGUUCUACGAUUCCUGGGUGGAUGAUAAAAACAAGACCAUCAACAUGAUAACUGAGUUGUUCACUUCGGGGAGUUUGAGGCAGUGAGUUUUGUGAAUUUUUCUUUUCCCAUUCUUUUCUGCUUGGUGUUGUCAUUCAUCUCUGAUAUGCUGAGAUUUGCUUUCCUUUAGAUACCGUAAGAAGCAUAAGAAUGUUGAGGUGAAGGCUAUUAAGAGCUGGGCACGGCAAAUCCUUAGAGGCUUACACUAUCUGCAUAGUCACAAUCCUCCAAUCAUUCAUAGAGAUUUAAAAUGCGAUAAUAUAUUUGUUAAUGGAAAUAAUGGAGAAGUGAAGAUUGGAGAUCUUGGAUUGGCAACUGUCUUGCAGCAGCCCACCGCCCGAAGUGUAAUUGGUACUUCAUUUUCCCAAAAAUUAGUAACAGUGACUUCAUCUAAAACCAUUUUGGCCUUAGCGGGGAGAAAAACCAAUUUUGGUUGAAACUUGUAAUGCUUUGUUAUUUGUGCAGGCACUCCUGAAUUCAUGGCUCCAGAGCUUUAUGAUGAGGAGUAUAAUGAGCUUGUCGACAUAUAUUCUUUUGGUCUGUGCAUAUUGGAGAUGGUUACUUGUGAAUAUCCAUAUAAUGAAUGCAAAAAUCCAGCACAAAUAUACAAGAAAGUUACCUCUGUAAGACAACCAUCUUCAAUACUUAACUUCUCCAUAAUCCUUUCAAGCGGUCAUUUAACCUCUCUCAAUGUCAUUCACUGCAGGGUAUUAAACCCGCUUCCCUUGGUAGAGUGAAUGAUCCACAAAUUAAGCAGUUUAUUGAGAAGUGUCUUCUUCCAGCAUCUAUGAGAUUGCCAGCUGCGGAACUCUUGAAAGAUCCAUUCCUUUUGGCUGAAACUCCCAAGGAGCCUGCGAGUGGUCCACCAGUGAACUUGAUCCAGACUGAACCUCAUCUGAUGGAAAUAGAUCUCAACUGCAAAAUGCUUAUGGUCAAACCUUCUACUGAAAGCAUCAAAGAAACUCCUCGGUUCUCAGCUCUGGAGCUACAGUCUUUCACUCAGAAUAAUGAAUUUAGGUUGAAAGGGGAGAAGAAUGACGAUAAUACAAUUUCAUUGACCUUGCGCAUUGCUGAUCAAUGUGGUAAGAAAUCGGCUAUAUAAAGUGUCUUACUCUCUUCUUUUUGUUUGGAAAAAAUAAAAUAAAAAAGAAUUAUGUAUCGGUUUGUCUUUGAACAGGUCGAGCAAGGAAUAUCCACUUUUCAUUUUAUCUGGAUUCAGAUACUGCUAUUUCAAUUGCUGAGGAGAUGGUUCAACAACUUGAUUUGUCAAAUGAAGAUGUAACUGUCAUUGCAGAGUUGAUUGAUAGCAUGAUCGUGAAGCUUGUUCCCUGCUGGAAACCUUCAGUUGGAAGCAUUUCAUGCCUACAAGAUUGCUUAUGCUACCCAAGUCAGGCCACUAUUAAGACGGUUGGUGAACAAGAAGUUUUCCCACGGUUGGCUGUUCUUAACUGUCAAGACACCGAAGAAUCUUUUGGUUCAGAUAUAUCAGCUGAAUCUAAUGGAAUGGUGGCCUCAGAUGGGAGUAACAACAAACCAAUGGGAUCUUCUGAUCACAGUUAUGUUGAGUGCCAUAACGGUUUGAACGCAUAUGAUUUUGGUUUAGAUAUUGGGGCUUAUAACCAUAAAGAUACCAGUGACGAGAAAAACCUUGGGGAAUAUAUAGCGAUAAAACAUUCCGCAAAGAACUCUGACACGUCCUUAAUGGAUUCUUGUUCAUUUGCUUCACAAGACAUUAGCUUGUCAAGCAUCGGCUCUCUAUCCCUUGCAGACAAGGACAAGUUGGAAGAGCUGAAAUCGGAGCUUGAUGCAAUAGAUUCACAGUACCAGCAAUGUUUCCAAGAGCUCUUAAGGAUGAGAGAAGAAGCAAUGGAAAGCGCCAGGAAGAGGUGGAUAUCAAAGAAGAAAGUAUCUGUGAUGUGAUGUACAAUAUCUUUUACUUGCUAACCAUCAAGUUUUUUCUCCUCUUCCCUUAGCUUAUGAUAGUUGCUUUUUUUUUUCGGCUGUUGUUUGCAUUGGAAGAUCAUUUUCUUUGACAAAAUUUCAUUUAUUUGGUUUAUUUUCAGAUAUGGGAUUGAAUCUAUGAUUUUAGUUCAUUGGUUAACCAUAGUGGUUCCUCUUUUGAUCAUUAUUGAGACUUUUGACUCUAAUUGGCCUUUAAGUUUUAUGGAUAAAGACUAAAAUGUGCACACUUUUUUUACUUGAUUGAAUGAUGCUUCCAUGUGAUAUGCAGUUGCCAAAUUUCAAUCUAUUUUUUCUCUAAAAAACAAUGAAAAAAGACAGAACGACCGACAGCCAUUGACUGGGAAAAUUUAGGCCCCUUGUGUUACAAGAUAAAAACGACAAAUCAUGGUGCUCUGGUCCUCAUUGAAAGGGAACUACUAUUUAAAUGUGAAGCACACCAUUGCAGAGUUCAUUGAUCGUUAUUAUCCAAGAAGUAAAUAAUUUUGCCUCGUAAUUAUAUAUGUUCUCAUGAUGGACAGAAUUAUUGCCUAUUUCCCAUUUUCCCUAUUUUUUCUCAAUUAUUGAGCUUCAAUUAUGAGAUUGUUCUGUACCAAAAUAGUGCUCUAAUUUCUCAAUCUUCCAAAUAUUUUAGCAGAUUUUUUAAAGGACAUAGCUAUAGUCAAUAUCCUAUCCCACCCUCAAAACCAGAGACAGUAGGGACAAACAACAGAUUGACCACACUUUUGGAUCUUCCAUACAAUACAAAAUACAAGAACACCAGGGUAAACCACCAGCCACCAUAUAAUGCUUAUCUUCCGCUCUGUAAUCUUUCAUCUCAAGAUCAAUGCUCCAUUAACUGAAUCACUUCUUCCACUUUUAUUACUAAACUAGAGAUUUAUCAUUAAUAUUCAUAUUAACCGAAAAGUUCGAACCUCAGAUACUUCGAGAAUCUAUAUAUACACUUCAGAACAUUUAAAGCACCACUGAAAACAAGUAAACAUCAAUGUUUGAGCAAGUCAAUCUUGAUGGCAGACACUUUAAUAUUCGAUUGACAGUUUCUUUCUACAGUAGAUGAUAUCUCACCGGUUACAGUAAUCAGCUAUAUCGGAUCAGUUAUUUCGCAUGCAUUCACGUUUCCAUGUUUGGACAAAGAAAUAUAUCCUAGUCCCUAGAGGGUUGUACAAAAAUGGUGACAACUGCGAAUAGUCUGGCAAAAUCAUAUAAGACAUCCUGUUGAAAAGCGACUUGCAGAUAAAUCAGAAGAACAAACGGUAUGUUAAUCCAUGAUCCAAAUAUGUUAGAAAUGCAGAUUCAAUCGUGUCCCGAUAUACAAGCACGUAAUAAGAGAAUCCAUUCACAAUUUAUUAACAAAAUGAAUAACAUCCGGUACGAUAUCCACACAAGGCACACAACAAGAAUGCACAGGAAGAGCAAUACGUGAAGAGCGUUCAACCAGGAAUAGAAGAAAAACACAGAAAGCCAUCCAUUUACUUGCUAGAUCAGAAGAAAUUGUUCGGAAAUUUUACAUUGGUACUACCAGUUCUCUUUGACAAUUUUCGACUUCUCAAGAAUGAAUUUCCCUUCCUUGUACUUCUGAGUUUCCUCAUAAGCCCGCUCGUAUUUCCAACCCAAUACCUCUCGACAAUCGCGACAGUAAACAUCAGCCACUGUGUGAAGACCAGUCAUCAGUUGUCUAUCCUCCUUAGGACCCACCAUCACGUUCAUUGCGUGGGAGAAUAAAAAAGCUCGACCGUUUCUCCCCUGAAAUUCACAUUGUUAACGAACCUUUUGGAACAUAUAUCUAUAGAAUGCUUUCAGCAAAACAAAUAUUAAUGAACCUAAAGCAACAUAUAGUCGCAACAUCGAAAUGACAGAAAACACAGUUAAUCAAACAUUUAAAAGGUAAAUGAUAUCAUAAGCAUUUAUCAAUAAAUCCAGCAACAUUAGCAUCAAAAUCCCAACCUGAAAAGACUUGGAUAUAACAUCGUCGUGAAGGGCAACUUGGUUUCUGCAAUUGCAGCAACUGUACAACCUUGGCCCAACUAUUUCCGUCAUAGUGGCAAUAACUUAUCGAAACUCAACUUGUUGCUACUCAUCACAAAUCAUAGGAAGAGAAUAAAAAAUCAAUGUUCAAUCUAAAGCCAAUAAAUAUCACAAGAAAGAUAGCAAAAUUAAUCAAAAGCUUACCUUGAGUAUACCAAUAAACAAUAUAAUAUACACUGCCAAUCAACUUUUGUUUGAGAAAACAACUGCAUCAUAGCCAAAACAGAGUACUUGAAAUAUCAAACGAAGCAAUAUUCAGAAUCCAAUAAUGAAAACAAGUCAAGCUGACCAAAGAAAAGCUCAUAUUCAAAGAACAAGUAAAAAACUGUUGAACCCUGUAAUUGGAAAGAGCAAAAAGAUGAGAAGAAGACCAUGAAAAGAUCAACUAAACAAAAUAAUGAAAACCCAGUAAUCCGAAGAAAGCUAAAUAAUUUGUAGACAAUGAGAUGAUGUAAUGCAAGCAGUGAAAGAAGAACAAAAAAAAGGGAUCAAGAGAAAGGGUAAUUAAAACCAAUAAUCGAAACAAGUUAAGCUCACCAAAGAAAAGCCCAGAUAUUCACAAGUAAAAAGAAGAUAAACCCUGUAAUUGAAAGAACUAAAAGAAGAGAAUUGCAUAAAAAAGAUCAACGAAAACAAAAUAUAAAAGAAAACCCAGUUAUCAGAAGAAAUGAAAAGAAAACCCCGUUAGUUUAAGACAACGAAUAGUGUAAUGCAAUCAGUGAAAAAAGCAAGAAACAAGGAGACAGGCGUUGGUAUUUCUUUUAUUAUUAUGUUUUUUUUUUGUUUUUAAUUAUAAAGUGUUGGGUUCUCAAACCUGGAUAGAGUUCCAUGAUUUUAUGUAUUGAUGGUUGUCUCAGAAGCAGAGAGUUGAGGGUUUUCCUGAGUUUGGUGGGUUUAUUAGCACUUUUCUAUGAAUAGAAGACGACAAAUAACAAUGGAGGUUUCGGUAAUUCCGGUUCAUCAAUUGACAUGGGACUGUCCUAAAUUACUAAUCUGCCAUUUCCAUUUUCUUGUCUACCAAACACUUAGCUACAGUAAAUUUACAAUACCAAAGUCAUUAGGUUCUAAACUAAUAUUAUGUAGAAGAAAGAAGAGGAAAAUUUAUAUCUUACAUUUUAUUUUUAAUUUUUAAGCAUUUUAUCUCAUUUAUGCAAAAGUCAAUUUUUAAAUGUAAAUUUUUUAUAAGAUAAUAUAAUAUUAAAAUAAAUAAAAUUAAAUUAAUUAAAAAUAUUCCAUGUUAAGUGAUAAGUAGUUAUAACUACUUAUCAUUUUUCAAAUUUUUUUAUAAAAAAAAUUAUAUCGAAUUGUUUUUAUUUUGCAUUAUCAAACAUGUAUAAAAUUUUAGAUCAUUGAAAUUUUUAAUUUUUAAUUUUGUUAACCAUUUAUCAAACAAAAUCUCAGUUAGAAAAAGACUAAAAUAUUUCUUUAUUGUCUAUGCUAAUAUUAAACCCUUUGAUUGAGUUGUUUUCAUGAGUACUCAUUUGGAAAAAUAUUAAAAUACAUCUUUAUGUAAAAAGCAAGUUAUUUAUACUAAUAUUAAGCCCUUGAUUAAAUUAGUAUCACGGAAUACUAACUCAAUUGAGAAAAAAAUUAAAAUAUCUCUUCAUAUACAAAAUAAAUUAUAAUAUUAUGAGAGAUUUUUAUCUUUUUUACAUUUUAUAAAUUAAUAAAAAUUCAAUCUUAGUAAAAUUUAAGCUCAUGAUAUUAUACCUUUCAAACAUUUAAUUUUAUCAUUUUUUUUAACUGAAGUAGUAUUUAAUAUUUAUAUAAACUUUUAAUAAGUAUAUCUAUGAAAUGAUUUAUUUUUAAGUGUGCAAUAUAUAAAUAAUAUGAAAUAAAUAAUAAAAAGAGAAAAAUAACAAAAGAAAAAGGAAAACAUACUAAAUAAGUUAAUUAAUUAUUCAAAUAUGUAUGGUUUUAAAUAUAUGUGUUUUAAUAUGGAAUUAGUUAUAUUAUAACAAUAUUUUAAUUUGACACGUUUAAUUAUUUAAUUUAACUCAAAUAAUUUCAUUUCACUCGACUCGAUUCGAAAAAAUUUCAAAUCAAAUUAGAAUAAUAAAAUAAUAGUAUCAACUUGAAUUUUUUUACUUAAAUCAAUUUCAUUAAAUCACCUAAACAUAAUAUUUUGUUAUAGAGUAUAUCAAUUUAAUCCUAAUAUUAAAAAAUUUCAGUGGUAAACCGGUAAACAAGUGCCCAACAUCCUAAAAUCCCCGGCCCGACCGCUUUACACAUUUAAACCCCAACCAGCACUAAAAAAACACACAAAUAUAGCCAUGGAGAGCAACUCAGGCGGCGAAGACACCGUAGCAACCAUCAAAUCAAUUCGGACCCAACUCGAAACCCGAAUCCAAGACCAACAUGCCACCCACCUCGACCUCCUUGCCUCCCUCCAAACUCUGGAUCCUAACAUCGUUCCCACCCUCGAUCUUUCCCUCCGUUUCGUCUCCGCCUUCAACCGCCGCUCUUUCUCUCCCACUCCUCCACUCCCCACGCCUAAAAAGAUCUCCCACCCGCCCCAACACCCGCCCACCCACUCUGUACCCGAUCCGAAACAGCUCGCCCUUGUUAAACCUGAAGGAGGCGACAAGUUCGCUGACGAGAGCGGCAACCCAUUGUUGAUGAUGAGAGCCAUGGUGGCUGAGUGUUUACUUCAGAGAGUACCGUUUAAAGCGAUCGAUUCGUCUACGGUUUUGAGGAAGUUAGAGAACGACGAGAAUAUAACUACGGCGGAGAAGGCUGCGAUGCGUGAACUGGGAGGCGAUUCUGGGGCCAUUCUCGCGGUGGAAAUGGCUUUGAGGUCAAUGGCAGAGGAUAACGGCGGCCUUGAGAUCGAAGAGUUUGUGGUCGGCGGCAAAAGCAGAGUUAUGGUACUUAGCAUCGACCGAACACGGUUAGUUCGAGAAUUACCCGAAGAACCUCAAAAUCAUCAAAAAAGAGAAAGGAUAAACAACGUUAACGAAAGUGAGAACUUGAAAAUGAAUAGUAACAGCAAUAACGAGUGGCUAGCACCGAGACCAAUGAGUGAAAUUUGGAUGGGAGGGGGAGACCCUGGCAUGAUGUAUCCGCCGGGUGGCCCAAUGGCAGGCCCUAGAGGUUGGGGAAUGGGGAUGAUGGGAAGGCCACCGAUGGCACCAAACAGUGGCCUUUUGCCGUCACAGAGACAGAGUACUGAGGAAGAUGAUUUGAAGGAUUUGGAAGCCUUGUUGAAUAAGAAAUCGUUUAAGGAAAUGCAGAAAUCAAAGACGGGUGAGGAGAUUUUGAAUAUAAUUAAUCGCCCAACUGCUAGGGAAACAGCUGUGGCUGCUAAGGUACAUUACAUUGAAGUUCGUCAAUAUAUAUAUAUACACUUUUUAAAGUUUUCAUUUUCUUCUUGUUUAUUUGGUUGAUGAUUGUGUUCAAAUAACUGGGUAUAGUUUAAAAGCAAAGGAGGUUCUCAAGUGAGGGAAUAUUGUUCAGCUUUAACCAAGGAGGAUUGUCGAAGACAAUCUGGCUCAUUUCUUGCCUGUAAGAAGGUAUUAAAGCAACAAUUUAAACUGCAUCAUACACUUCCAUAUAUCUUGACAGUUUAGCAAUGUCCUUUGAUAUAUUCAUUAGCUUGAAAGGUUGCAUCAUUGAGCUUUAACCUAUAGUGUUAUUGUUGGUUUCAUGGUAAUGGUUGUUGCUGUAUAUAGCUAUGUUUUAUGUGGUGCUAUCAUUUGAACUUCCACAAAUCAUUUGUAGCUUUUAGAAGUAUCCUUUUAGUAUUCCUGAUUUGCCUAUUUGCAAUGUUGUUUUACUGGCUUUUAUAACUUUUUUCAGGUGCAUUUUAAGCGGAUAAUUGCUCCUCAUACAGACAUCAGUUUAGGGGAUUGUUCAUUUCUAGAUACCUGCCGGCAUAUGAAGGUAAUUUUUCUAUAAUAAAUAGAUCAAUCUUUUACUACCUUUCUUUCUGUUGUCAUCUUAUUACAACUAGUACUUGAGAGUAAUGCCAAUUCAAUCAUGUUUGAUAGACAUGCAAAUAUGUCCACUACGAGCUUGACCAAACACAAGAUGAUCUUGGUCCUGAGAAACCUUUGAAGCCUCCACGUGCUGAGUAUUGUUCGGAAGUGGAAUUAGGUGAACCACAAUGGAUUAAUUGUGAUAUCAGGAAUUUUAGAAUGGACAUUUUGGGGCAGUUCGGUGUUAUUAUGGCAGAUCCACCAUGGGAUAUUCAUAUGGAGUUACCUUAUGGAACAAUGGCUGAUGAUGAGAUGCGCAACCUUAACGUUCCUGCAUUGCAGACUGAUGGUCUGAUAUUUCUUUGGGUCACUGGGCGUGCAAUGGAGCUAGGUCGGGAAUGGUGCGUGCUUUAUUUUGAAUGUUAAUUAAUUAAAGGGUAAAUUACACCAACAGUCACUCAACUUUAGGGUAACUAACAAAAUAGUGACCUAGAUUUCAUUUCAGUCACUAAACAUUUGAAAAAUAACAAAACAAUCACUAACGUUAUAAAAAAGUGACAAAACAGUCACUGACUAAUGGUUUCCGUUAGUGUCUUAACAGAACCGCUGAUGUGGCAAGUUAACUAGCUGAUGUGGCCAGUUAACUUGCCACAUGGGAUAAAGAAGUUAAAAAAAAACCUAGAAAAAUCCCUUUAACAGAGAAGAAGAAGCAGCAGCAGCAGAAGAAGAUUAAAGAGCUAAGUGAAAGUCUUCAAGUCAUUGCAAAAGAGAAAGAUGAUUUUGCUUUCAUUGUAAAUCUAAGUCAGGAAUGAUGAUAUAGAGCCUGAAAGACCUAAAACCACAUGUUUUGUUGAUGCAUCUGAAAUACGUGGUCGAGACCAAGAUAAAAACACCAUUACCAGCAUGUUGCUAAGCGAAAAUGGUCAAGAAAGGGGAAUCCAUAUAAUCUCCAUCGUGGGGAUGGGAGGGAUAGGGAAAACAACUUUAGCCCAAAUAGUUUACAACGAUAGAGCCUAUUUUCAGAAGAAACUAUGGGCGUGUGUUUCAGAUCCCUUUGAUGAGAUAAGGAUUGCAAAAGCAAUUCUUGAAGCUCUAACGGGUAUUCCGUUGGGUUUGCGUGAGUUGAACACUGUACUAGAGAAAAUCCAUGAAUCUAUUGUGGGAAAAAGGUUCCUACUUGUUCUUGAUGAUGUCUGGACAGAAGAUGAGAGGAAGUGGCAAUCAUUGAAAUGCUGUCUUAAAAGUAGUGCCUCCCCAGGAAGCAAAAUCUUGGUCACCACACGCAUGUUGCUACUGUAAUGGGUUGUACCCGAUUAUUCAAUUUGGGGAAGUUGUCUGAAGAGUGUUGGUCCUUAUUCAGUCAGGUAGCAUUUUCUGGAUGGAAUCACAGAGCGCGUCAGAUUUUGGCAGACAUUGGUAAGAAAAUUGCAGAUAAGUGCAACGGUUUGCCUCUUGCAGCAAAAACACUCGGAGGUCUCUUACGAAAGUUUCUUCUUCUUCUGCUGCUGCUGCUGCUGCUUUUUCUUCUUCUUCUUCUCUGUUAAAAGGGGGUUUUUUUAGGUUUUUUUUUUCAAUUUUUUCAUCCAACGUGGCAAGUUAACUGGCCACGUCAGCUAGUUAACUUGCCACAUCAGCGGUUCUGUUAACACACUAACGGAAACCGUUAGUUAGUGACUGUUUUGUCACUUUUUUAUAAUGUUAGUGACUGUUUUGUUAUUUUUCAAAAGUUGGGUGACUAAAAUGAAACUUAGUUGACUAUUUUGUUAGCUAUCCUAAAGUAGUUGAGUGACUGUUGGUGUAAUUUACCCUUAAUUAAAAUUAUGUAAUAACUGAAAGUUUUUUAUUCAUAUAUGUUAAAGUAAUCAUGCUUCUUGCAGUUUGGAACAAUGGGGUUACAAGCGGUGUGAGGAGAUUAUUUGGGUGAAAACAAAUCAACUUCAGCGAAUAAUUAGAACAGGAAGAACAGGUCAUUGGUUAAAUCAUAGUAAGGAGCAUUGCCUUGUAGGAAUCAAGGGAAAUCCAGAAAUAAAUAAGAACAUUGAUACCGAUGUCAUUGUUGCCGAGGUUCGAGAGACUAGUCGCAAGCCAGAUGAGGUUUGUGGACUAUUUGGCUACCCCAUUUUACAUCUAUCUGUUUACACUUUUUGAUGUCAGAAAUGUUAGCUUAAGGAUGCUGAUGGCCAUGCAUUCUGAUUUUGAAAUUUUUAUGUUGUUGCUUCUUUCAUUAUCAUUUCAGUACAUAAAAGGUCUCUCUUCAUUGCUUUAUGUUUUUGCAAUGUCCCUGUCAUGUAUUUCAAGAACUUAUCUUAACUGGAAACUUAACUAUGCAGAUGUACCCGAUGCUGGAGAGGAUCAGUCCAAGGACAAGGAAGCUUGAACUAUUUGCUCGCAUGCAUAAUACUCAUGCAGGGUAUGGUAUUUUGAACCAUUUUUCAUACUUCAAAAUUGUUCUCAUAUAUUAUCAUCUCAAAAUAGAUGAAGGACCUUGACGGUCUCUAAGCUUAAAUAAAUUUUACAUUUGUUAUUGUCAGUACCUAAUGUUGAAUUCCCUUAUUUAAUAUAUUCUUGGGAAUCCACAAUUUUCUACUGCUAAGCAAUCUCCUUUAUCCUUAUUUUCCAUCAGAUGGAUAUCGCUUGGGAAUCAGUUAAAUGGGGUUAGACUGGUUGAUGAAGGCCUAAGAGCAAGGUACAAGGCUGCCUACCCACAUGUAGAAGUACAACCUCUCUCUCCUCCCAAAGCUUCUGCCAUGGAACUAGACUCUACUUCUGCUAGAAGUCCCUUUGCAACAGAGUCAAGAUCACAAUUUGCGGAUCCAGCUGCUCCCGAUGCUGGCCAUGCUCCCGAAGAGAGGGCAAUGGCUGUAGAUACUGAUAUGACCACCUGAAAACCUGACCUACCUUGGUUAAUUCCCAGAUACUAGUUCUAGGGCCGAUGUACCAUUACUUAAUAGUUCUUUUGUUUCUUUUGUAAUGAUUCUACUGUAUCAGUCCCAUUUUACUGUUUUUAGUUAAUUUUUGACUCGGGUUCAUUUGUAAUGAUUUUCUGGUAAAACAUCGAAUUAUUAGUUUCAGUCUAUUGUAAUGUUUUUAUCUGACUUGAUAUGAUAUCUACCCUCGAAUAAUUGAAACUCGCGUAUGGUUAAUCCAUGUAAGAGGUGGCUGAAAACAAAAUCAAGCUUAACAUUCGUCUUAAAAAAUGGAUUGAAAUAGAGGCUGAACCCACUUUCGACAUUAGACUUCUGAUGUCUGCAAUCAAAAGAGGCACCAAUAAGGUAAAGCUAAGAAAAAAUUACCAAAUUUUGUACUUCAAACCAGACUCAUUAUCCUCUUCCCCGUUCUCAUCAGACCUUGCUGUCCAGCUAAUCUUGAACUUUCUAUUUUCUAACAUCCUCCAAAGCUGCAUUUCUAAACCCGCCCAAUAUCAAUGUCGCCGGAAGCCAUCUGAUGCCAGAUCCUUCCGUGCUCCUCAGGCAUUUUGAUACCAACCAAGAAGGCUCCACCACGGUAACGGACUAAAGCACUCAUCUUCCACCAUUCUUUAACAUCUCCCUAACCUUCUUAUGACCCAAGUCCCACAAGUAGCCCAAUUAGCACUUAAAUUCAGCGGCUUGAAUAUAGUUAACCUCAUCGAUGACAGCGACCUCUUCAAGUUUUUCUUUCCCCAUUUUUUAGACCCCAUUAAUUGUCUCUACUUAGCGCAUUACAAACAAAUCAUUCAUGAAAUUACCUAAAUUGCGUUCGUUGAUUCCGUAGUCAGAAGUUCUCACCACCAUCUGAGCAUAUACACAGAUUCCAUCAGGAGGGAAAUGGCAAUCAAACAAUGCUACAGAAGAUUCAAGAGGUGGAUUCCUCCAGGGCCAUGUUCCAUGCUGAUGAUUACAAAGUCGUAGCCAGAGUGCGAUCUUGGCCAUAGCUGGGGAGGAGAGGAAGAAGAUAUUUGCGAAGAAGGGAUUUGAGAAAGGAUGAGGAGGGAAAAGAAGGAUUAAGGGAGCUUUUGGGAGGGCAGAGGGUGGGGAAUUUGGAGGAUAGGAAAGAAACUUGUUUCCAAGGGACAGAUUGGGGGUAGCACUGGCAGCGGAGGCAGCAGUGUAUGUUAUGUUGGCCAUGGGCCACAGUGGUGGGGAGCUUCGGGGUUGAUGAAAAACGUUUUUCUGUUUAACCUUUAUAGAAGUUUAAAGUUCGUAGUGGUAAGAAACAUACGAGAGUGGGAUUUCCUUUGGCUCACUCAUUUAUAGGAAAAUAAAGGAAGAAAAACCUUCAGGUUUCAUGACAUCCUAAAAGUUUUAAUUUUUUUCUAAAGACAAACUAAAAAUGCAGUCGUCACAUGAAUCAAAUAGCACUUAAUAGAAACAAAAAACUUGGGAAAUGAUCCAAAUCCUGUGUUAUAGAAUGAUGUAAAAGAUACAAAGUCAAAUGAAAGAAAUAGAAGCAAUCUCCCAAGAUUACAUCUUUAGAGAAGUUCUUGCCAUCACUAGAGCACCCUCAUCAGUUUGAUUUCCACCGAUAAACCCACUCAUGUGGACAAAGACACAGCCGGAAAUUCUUGUCUCCUUUGAGAGCUCAUCGUCCCUCAAACCUCGCCACUGUGCUGGGAGGGGCUUCCGGCUCUCAAAACUAUCAGGAGAUACUGAUACUGCCUGCACUCGCCAUUGUUUGCCCCGUUCAUCCUGUGUCAUGAUUACAAUAAGAAUCUAUCUCAAACUCUAGAAAAGAGGAACAAUAACUGCGACAUAUCCAUUUGCCUGACACUAGUAUCCAAUCUAGGGCUAACACAUUAGAAAAAUUGUUUGAAAGGAAGAUUGGUCUACUAAAUGCAUACCUCAUAAAGAACAUAUUUAAUAAGAGGCUCAACCUUCAGCUCUGCCUCAAGCUCAAAUAAGUGAAGCUUCCACUGUUGGAUGUGAAAUGAAAUCAGACUUAGUUGUAAAUAAAAUGAUGUACGAUGGUAAGUCAACAAUAAGCUGCAGUCAUUUGCAACAAUAUAUUCAUCUCGCAAACUAAUGAAAGUAGCAAAGGUUAUUUGAUGAAAGUUCAAACCAAUUGAAUAAACCAAAAUGAGUAUAUUUAUAAACUAGCAAUUCUUUCCUCUUGAGAAGAGUUGCAUAAACAAAAAAAUCUAUAACAUACACUUCGGCAGGGCUAGUUGAAGAAGAACAUAACAGUAAGAAGAGAGUAAAUUAGAAAAUCUACUUACAGGGCAAAACCUUUUCAAAACCAUAAUUUCACCACUAGGAUCUAUGUCAAAUCUCUCCGCAAUGCACUCCAUUACAAUUGACCUUGCUGGUAGCCAUGAUCUUGCAUGAAAUUGGACACUCUGAGAAUUGAAGAAGGCCAUCAGAAUAUUAAAAUACGAAGAAUGAUACAGUACAUACUUUUAUAAAUUCGCAAGGAAAUGACCAAAAAACAGAAAUCCAUAUCGAAGACCAUACUAAUAAUUGUAUAUUUAGGUAUGUUUAAUUUUGACAGAGCCUUACCUCUAAGAACUCACUACCAGCUAGAGCCAUUGCUCGUUGGAAAGCCUCAUUCUCCUUCUCAGGUGAUUGAUCAGGAUCUGUCCAGUCUAGAUUUAAUCUUCCAACUCUAGAAGAUAAGUGUGUAUUGUUCACAUAUUUAGGUGGCUUAUCAGUAUCAAACUGGUUGAUUCCAUUGUCAAUCGCAUCAAUUGCCUGGUAGAAGCAAAAAAAAAAUUGAACAUCCAAGUUAUAAUCCCUUAACUAAAGCAUAGGAAAAGGAAAACCAAGAAAAUAGCAGUUCCUAAUCUACUUCCAUGCAAGCUCAGGAAGUCGUGGAACUCGAACCCUUUUAAAACAUAAGAACCGAAGUUGUAAGUACCUCCACGAAGCUUUUGUAAAUGGCCAAAAAUAAUCUAUGCACAUCCGGGUGGUCUUCUCCAAGCUGAAGCUCUUUAGCUAUUAUCUCCUUGCCAAAAUGCUAAAUACAGGGAAAACCGCUAAUAAGGAAGAAAUAGAAUAACCUACCAAAACACGUCAUUGCUCAUAUUAUACUCUGCCAACUUGUAUCAGGCCACAAUACACAAAAGGCAAAAGGAGAGAACUAUAAGAAGAAUCUUCAAUUGCCCUAUAGAAUAAAUGAAUACCUUAUAAACAAGUCCAGCACUGCUAAGCUUUGUAUUAAAUCCAUGUCCAAAAACCUCCUCAAACCCCUUCUGGUGAUGAUCAUACCGGUCAUGAUUAGGAUCAUAGACGCCUCCAACAUCAAGCACAGCAUCAAGCCCCUCCAAUACCUGAAAAGUCAGAUAAAUCUUAUAAACAAUCUUCAAAGAGGAAUCAUUAAGACCAAACGAGAACAAAUAAACUACACGAAUCCCAUAAUAAACCACCUACAUCUCCAAUCGGUUCUAGAUUUCAAGCUUUCUAAUUUAUAGCCAACGCUUGCAGCAAACAACGAUAAAGCUAACUUUAUAAAGAAGCACAUAUUUAGACCCAAAGAAAACCCAUUUCAUAAUUUCCAUUUCUUCUAACUUUGCUAUAAUAUUAAGCAAUCACACAAAAAAAGGGGGGGGAACUAACCUUGGGAUCUCGGGUACGGAUAAUCUCGGAGUUGGAGAACUUGUCAGUGAGACGAAUCAUGAAGCAGCCGAGGGCCUCGUCGCAGUGGAAGCUGCCAUUGUGAGUGCCGACGCGCUUAAAAGGAGCGUGGUUAGGGGAGGAAGUGGAGUAAGAAGGAGAAGAAACCCUAAUAACGUUAGAGGUAGCCAUGAGAGGGCGAGAGAGGGUUUUGGGCAAGUUGAAAAUUUUCUGGUUAAACCCUCCCCUUGUAAUUGCCCACAUGCCUUUAACUGCCCAUUUUUCUCCAAUACCUCCUUUAGUUUAUACACUUUGACAAAAACGGCACCAUUUCCACGGAUUCCUAUUCCCAUUAUAUAUUUUGGAUUUUCAGUGUUUUUUUUUUUCUAAUAUAAUUUGGACUACACUUAAGCGUGAAUUUAGAUGAUUAGUAUAAAAAUAAUAGUGAAAAUGAUAUUAGAUAUUAUAAUAAUAUUUUAACAUAAGAUAAAAAAAUAAGUUAAAUACAUUGUACUUAAUUACUCCUCCAGACCCACUUUGAAUAAGGUUUCAAUUUGAAAUUUUACUGAAAGGAUAAUGAUUUUUUUGGGUACAAAAGAUGAUUCAAAAUUAAAUUAAUUUUGAAGAAGAUAAAAGGGUUUAGAGACAUCCAACUCUUUUACUGCUGGAUGUGAUUUUACAAACUUAAAUAAUCAUUAAGUUAACCAUAUAUUUAAAUAAAAAAUAUAAACUAUAUAAAUAGUUACUAAAUUAUACUCGUGAUCUUGUUUUAGUCUUUUUAACUUUAAAAAUUUUCAAUUUAAAUACUAACAUUUGAGUUCUUUCAUAUUUUGAUCACUCAUCAUUAAAUUGGUAUCGAAAAUCUUUUUUAACUCGUAUGAUAACACAUUUAUUUCUCAAUACUUACAUAUUUUAUCAAUUUGAUCAUAAUUCUAAAUAAUUUAAUAAAUUUAAUCGUUCAUAUUUAUAAAUUCUAUUAAUUUGCUCCUCAAAUUUCCUAACAAAGCUUCCAGCUUUUAAAACAGAUACAUUUUACAUUUAUAGAUUAUAAACCCCCAAAAAAAACAACAUUUCAUUGAUAUACAUCUAGCCUGUGCAGUUUAUUCUACUAAUUGAAUAUAUCAAUUAAUUGAUGCACAAAUUUAAUUGUAUAUAUCAAUUAAUAUAUAUUGUAUGAUUUUUUAUAAAUUUUAUAAUUGAUAUUAUAAUUAAGUUUAAAUCAUUUUAUAUAUUUGUAAUUCAAUAUCUUAUUUGAUAAAAUUAAUAUCUUAAAUCAUUAUUAUAUGUUUAUGGUAUAUAUAAUUUCCUAGAUUAACCAUAUAUAAAAAAAUGUUUAUAAAAUCUAUUAAUUUUUUAUUUAUGAGAUCUAUUUGUAAUAAAUAUUUUUUUUUUGAAAAAGUGUUUCUAAUUUUUUUUUACUUUCUUUUAGAAACUUUUUUAGUUUUUUUCUAAGUUUAAUUUUUAUGAAUCUAGUUUGAAAAUAUUUUGUUUACCUAUUUUAAAUUUUAAAUUCAAGUAUGGUACUUAAAAAUUAAAUUAUUUUUUGAGAAUAAUAGUUGGAUGGGUAUUAGCCUGCUUUAUUCAUUAAAAAAAAUUCAAAAUCCACAUUUAUAAACUACAAAAUAAUUAUAUAUUUUUUGAUCAAUGCAUGUAUCUAGUCCGUGCAUUGCAUGAGUAUAUUUUAUUACAUGAGAUAUAAAAAGGUAUCUUUGUUUUUUUUUGAUGUCCCUUGUAUUGCUUACAAAUCAUAUACCUUGGGUUAAGUGAUAAAAAAAAAAUUUAAGUUCGAGUAUGGUAAAUUAGUUGGAUAUGUAAUGCCUCUGUUUUAAAAACUGAAAGCUUUGGUUAGGAAGUUUAAGGAUCAAAUUGAUAAAAUUUUUAAAUGUGAAGAGUUAAAUUUAUUAAAUUAUUUAAAAUUAGGAACAAAUUGAUAGAAUAUGUAAGUAUUGAAUACUAAAUAUAUUAUUAUGUCAAUUAGAAGAAGACUUUUUGUUAUCAAUUUAUGGCGGUAACUAAAAUAGGGACGAAUUCAAACAUUAGUGCCUAAGUUAAAAUUUUUUAAAGUUGAGUGACUAAAACAGGAAUAUAGACAUAGUUGGGUAACUAUCUAUUUAUAUAGUUUACCCUAAAUAAAAAAAAAUUAUGAAUGAAAUGUAAAGUUAGACGACCACAACUUAUUCUGGAUCGGGUUUGAGUUUAAAAUUUUUAAUCUCGAUGUAACGCCCCCUUACCCGAGACCGUCGCCGGAGUCGAGCACGAGGCAUUACUAAACUUAUUUGAGCACUUAAACAAAUUCGGACAAGCUGUCCAAUUGCGUCAUAGUUGCUUAAAAAUUCAUAUCUCGAGUUCCGAAACUCGGAAUCAAAUUCCGUAAAUUUUUCCUUAAACUAGACUCAUAUAUCUAUCUACUAAUUUUUUUCUAGAAUUUUUGGUCAGGCCAAUUAGUACAGUUUAUUAGUUAAAGUCUCCCCUGUUUUAGGGUUCGACUGCUCUGACCUCUGUGUAUUAUGAAUCAGAUAUCUCCCUGUACAGAGUUUCAAUAACUAUUCCGUUUGUUUCUAAUAAAACUAGACUCAAUAAGGAAUCUGUAAAUAUAAAGCAUAACUUCUAAUUAUCUUUGUACAAUUUAUGGUGAAUUUCCAAAGUCAGAACAGGGGAUCCAGAAAUCGCUCUGGCCCUGUUUCAGAAAAAUUUAAACUUCUCAUAAAAUAUAACUCAUAUACCUGUUUUGUUCCAUCCAUAUGAAAAUAGACUAAUAAUUCUUCAAUUCUAUAUUUUAUUCAUCAUCUAAUUGUAUCUCUACUAUUUUUAAUGAUUUUUCAAACUCACAUUUGAAUCUAUUUUAUGGUAAAUUUUGCCUAUUUCAUGGUUUCCAUGGAUUAGCUAGCAAUUUAGCAUACAUAACACUAAAUAUGAUCAUGAUUAGCCAUUCCAAUGGCUAAUCAUUACCAAGCAUUUCCAUACCACUCAAUAUCCAUAUCAUAAGACCAUAUAUACAAAAUGAUUGUAACGCUAUACAUGUCAUACUCAAAAUAUACAAGCCAUUAUGCCAAGAUGGUAUACGGAUAGUGUGAGUGGGCCUCCGACCGUUCCCGAUUUCCGAGCUGGCUUGUCAAAACUAUAAGGAAUGAAAAGGAGGGAGUGAGCAUAAAUGCUUAGUAAGUUCAUAUGAAAUUAAUAAGCAAUUACCAACAUGCUUUUAAGAUAAAACACCACAAUUGUACAAUUAUACAUACUCAGCUUAAACUGUUUUAUCGAGAUACAUUUACUAAAUAAUUUAUUUCUGGAGCUACGAAACUUCAAAUUAAGUUCUGUUAAUUUUCGUUGAAACUAGAUUCAUAUACCUUUCUCCCAUAAAAUUUCCAGAAUUUUUGGUUUAGCCAUUUAGUACAGUUUAUUCAUUAAAGUUUCCUCUGUUUCGCUGUCCAACAGUUCUGAUCUCUCUUCAUUAAAAAUUAUUUAUCUCAUAAUUCGGGACUUGGAUGAUGUUCCCGUCUAUCCCUCUUGAAAAUAGACUCGAUAAGGAUUUUAAAUAUAUAAAUUAAAACUCAUAAUUAUUUUUUUACAAUUUCUAAUGAUUUUCUAAAGUCAGAACAGGGGAUCUCGAAGUCAUUCAAACUCUGUCUCACAACAAUUUAAAUAUCUUAUAACAUAAAAUCCAAUUGCAUGCACCGUUUCCUCUAUAUGAAACUAGACUCAUCAGGAUUUAAUCUCAUAUUUUAUUCAGCCCUUAACUCAAUUUCCACAAUUUAUAGUGAAUUUCAAAAGAUACACUACUGCAGUAACCCAAAACUGCCAAGGCCAUAUUUAUCCAUUCACCACUAUUAUUCACUAAAUACAUACAAUAUCAUUUCAUCCAUCAUGGUAAGAACACAUAAUUAUGCUUCAUAAGCAUAGAUCCAUAAUCUCAAUGUCAUCAAGUAUCAAGAACUUAUUCCAAAUCGUGUCAUUUUCAUAGUAUUCACCAAUUCUUAAUCUUUUCGGGCCAUUUUACAUUUUCGUUCAUAAUCAAAUUAGGGAACGAUUAUGGAAUUGAGUACCUCAUUAUCACAAUGCCAUAGUAAAACUAUGGUAUUGCACAUAGUCACAUAUCACAUACCGAGGCCAUAGCCCAGCUAUGGUCUUACACGGAUCACAUAUCACACUGAUGCCAUAUCCCAGAUAUGGUCUUAUACAGUAGCACAUAUCACACCGAUGCCAUAUCCCGGAUAUGGUCUUAUACGGAAGCACAUAUCACAUUUCUCCGAAGCCAUAGCCCAGCUAUGGUCUUAUACGAAAAUCACAUUUCACAUGCUGCCAUGGUCCAACCAUGGUCUUUUCCGUCAAUUCGUCUUAGCCACUGAAUGAAAGUACUCAAGUCCGUUGUUCCAUUUAAUUUGUACUUUUAUUCAAAUAUCAUUUUACAAUUAUCACAGUUUAAUGACAUUUUAUAUGCAAUAAUAUACUAUAUCAUUCAUGAAAAUUUCAUUUCAAAACAUUAAAUUACACAUUGCAUUAUUAAAAAUCAUAUGAACUUACCUCGAUAUAAAAUAUUAGCAAUCGAGCCUAUUCCUCGUAAACUUUAUUUUUCCCUCGAUCACGACUUGAAUCUCGUUUCUCUUGAUCUAUAAUAUAAAUUAUUUCUACUCAUUAGUAUUUAUUUGAUUUCUAUUUCACUUCACAAUUUAUGCUGUUCAAAUUUCAAAAUUGCACUUUUACCCUAAAAUUUACAGUUUUUACAAUUUAGUCCCUGCUCAAUUCAUCCAUCAAUUGAACUAUUUUUUUUCUCAAUUAACACUUUUAUUUUAUCAUUAUAAACUAAUUCACAACCUUUGAUAUUCUGAAUUUCAACAUCAACAUCUAAUUCACAACUUUUUCACAAUUAGGUCCUAAAUACCAUUUUCUAUCAAAAUGACUUAAUAAAACAACCUUAAUAUGAAAUUUGAACUUAAAUUUCAUAAUAAUUCAUCAUAUACUGCCCUUACUCAGCCAGGGUAACUUCCAAUUUCACCCACCAAAUCAAAAACUAAUGAAUUAGAUGAUUGGACCUAAUUGCAAAAGUCUUAAAAAUACAAAAAAUAUAAGAAAAGGGCAAGAAAUAGACUCACAUGCAGUGAAAUUGUGCAAAGCCAGCUUAAAAGCUCUCUCCCAUGGCUGUCUGGCCGAAAUUAUGAGAAGAAUGGCCUAGAAAUCUCUUUCAAUUUCAAUUUAUUUGUUUAAUUUUAUAAAAUUUACCAUUUUACCCUUAGCUCACCUGAUUCCAGAUUUUUUUUCUUGCUUAUGCCGCCUCAUCCUUUCCCUUUUGGCUAAUUUUCCUUUUAAGUCCUCCCUCAUUUAACACUUGAGCUAUUUAAUCAUUUUAUCAAGUUUUGUACCUUUUUCAAUUUAGUCAUUUUUAAUUAAUUGACUAUCCAAACGUUAAAAUUUUCUAACGAAACUUUAAUACUAACUUAUUUACACUCCAUAAAUAUUUUUAAAAAUAUUUAUGGCUCGAAUUAUGCAUUCGAGGUCUUGAUACCUCGUUUUAGACCCAAUUUACUUAUUAAAUUCUUUUCUCUCUCUUUUUUUUAACACAAAGUUCACUAAUUCAAAAUUCUUCUAAAUUCACACUUGACUCAUAAUUAUUAAUUUAUUAAAUUUUCAAACAUACUUGUCGGAUUUAGUGAUCUCAAAUCACUGUUCCGAUAUCACUGAAAUUUGGGCCGUUACACUCGAUCCAACUAAUUUUAUUGUUUUAAAAAAUAAUUUUAUAUUAAUAAUUAUACUAUUAAAUUUAAAUAAAAAAUAUAUAUUAUCUCUUAAAUAAUAUAAUAAGUCAUUUAAGUAGAUUGGUCCAGCUCGAAUCCAAGUCCAAAAGUUUAUUUAGAAUUAAGUAUCAACUCAGCCCAUAAAUACCAUCAAUAAAAAAGUAAUCUACAAGUCUUUGUAUCAUAGAGUGAAAUGUAUUUAAUAUUUAUAUUUUUAAAAUGAGAAAAGAUCCUUGAAGACGAAUAAAAUUAUAAUUAUUUUAAUAGGAUAAAAAUAUUAAUGUUAUGAAAUAGAUUAAAUGGUGUGAUAUUAAAUUUAAAAUAUAACGUUUAAUUUACUGUACUUUAAAAUAUUUGUUGCAUUUAAUAACACUAGUUUUUAUUAUUUACAUUUUGUCAAAUUAGUCCAUAUUUUUUAGUUAAAUUUUGGUUCUUAGCCUUUAUAGAAUAGUCAAUUUUUUUUAAUAAAGAUAUUGACUAAAACAUUAAAUUUUUAAACAUGACAGCCCGCAUGGCAAUCGACAUGUACUCCGUACUAAUAUUUUUUAAUUACUUUUUAAGAAUAUUUUUAUAAUUUUAAAAUUAUUUAUUGACGUAAUAUAUCAAAUAGUGCCGUGUUACAGGAAGUACAUGUGGAUUACUACAUAGGUUCCCAUACCAAAAUCACUAAAAUGUUGGUGUUUUAAUCAACUUUUUCAUAUAAAAAAUAAUUUAACUCUUUCUGAAAGGUUAGUGACCAAAUUUUGUUAAAAAAUAAAUAAAUAUCAAAUUGAUAAAAGAUGUGAAUCAAUGAUAAUGUAUGAAAUUGGGCUGACUUAAAUGUAAUGGUACAAACUUUUUAAUCAAUAAUGGGUAGGGUGAACAUUACAUGUCAUAUAAAAAUAUCAUAUCACAUUUUAAAUUAAUGUCCCGUCAUAUAAUUUUUCAUUUUAAAUUAUGUCGCAUAAAGUCCGAGCAUUAUUUUAUCAAUUAAAUUAAUAAUUUUAGAAAUGAAAAAAGAAUUUAUCUAUGUGAUCUUGACAGUUUAAAAGUGCAAUUGUAAUGUUUUAAAGUUUGAAGAUUAAUUUUGAACGAGAAUCAUAAUUGGAGGAUGCUCAAUACAAUUAAUGUUAGGCAUAAUGAAAAAAUUACUCUUAAUGUUUACAUCUUUUGUCAAAUUGACCAUUAUUUUUUUGAGCUAAAUUUGACCCUCAACCAUUUAAAAAGAGUCAAAUUUGACCAUCAACCUUUUAAAAAAAAGUCAAAUUGCUAUUUUAAAAAAAAUAAAAAAAAAUAAAAAUAUUAAAUUUUCAAACGUGACAACUCACAUGACAAUCCAUAUAUACUUCAUAUAUAUAUUUUUAAUUUUUAUGAUUUUUUAUACUUUAUAUUUUUUUGAAUUUUAAAAUUUUGAAUAUUUUAUAAUUUUUAAAUUAUUUGUUGGUGGCAUAUAAAACAAAUAAUGCCAUGCCAACAUGAAAUAUACAUGGACUACCACACGGGUUUCCACACUAACAUAGUUAAAAAAAUAAUGUUUUAAUUUGUAUUUUCGUUAAAAAAAUGAUUUAACUCUUUUUGAAAGGUUAAUGGUCAAAUUUAGCUCAAAAAAAGAAUAAGGGUCAAAUUGAUAAAAGAUGAAAAUAUUGAGAGCUAAAUGUUUGGGUUUGUAAUUGCUUUGUUUGGAUAAAUAAUUGUGUUACAAAAAAACUGGUUAAUGAAAAUUUAAAAAUUAACAAGUAAUUACCAAAGAAGAGUAAUUAUAUUAAAAAUAAAUAAUAUAAAAAAUAAUAUGGAUAUAAUUAUAUUUGUAAAAUAAUAUAAACAUUUUUAAUAAAAUAUUUUUUUAAAUAUAUAUUACACUUAAAUAAAAAUAAUUUUGAAGUUUAAGCUUUUAUUUUGCAGUGGAAUCAUAUGUAUUAAAUAAAAUAAAAUUAGAUUGGUUUUGAAAAAAAUUAAACUAUUAAAAUUCCCUCUUAAAAUUACUCAUAAAUAUUAAAAAAUUCAAGAUAUUUACUUAAACAAAUAAAUUAUUUUCUUAAAUUUUGAAAACCUUAAUACAAAUUUUCCAAGUUUUUCACUCACACACACCCUAAAAGCACAGCUACCCCCCCCCCCCAAAGGAUCAUAAUGCAAUCUGUAUUAGAAUAUAGGGACCUGUAAAGUAUUUUUACCGAAAAUAAGUGAUUAAAACAUCAAUAGGAACCGCAAAAAAAAAAAAAAUCAGGGGCCAGAACCGGAGGCCCGAAGGGUGAGAGGGAAAGGAUAACAAUCGCAUUUGCACAGAAUCCAGGCGCUGCAAUCCCUGCAUCAAUGCCCUCAGCAAUCACCUCCACUUUGCUUCUCUCUUCAAAACCCAUAUUCCUAUUCAAAAAUCCCUUCUACUUAGCACCUUCAACAUGUCCAAAAGGCCCCAUUUCUCCUCAGCUAAAGCCUCUCACGUUGAAAUGCAGCGGUAACUCGGAGGAGCAAGAAACAAGCAAUGGCUUGAAGGAUGCCCUUUCUGGUAUCCUUGGCAAGCAGGUUGAGGAACUCUUGAACCGAGAAGAGAAUAAGGGUUUGCUUGAUGGAUUGGAGAAGGCUUCAGAGAGAGUAGAGAUUGCUAAGAGACAACUUGCAGAGAUUGAAAAACAAGAACUUGAAGCUCGGUUAUUGAGAAAUUACAUUGACCAAUUAGAAUCCAGGGCCUCCGAGGUGAGCUUCUUCUCUAAUUAUGGGAAACUUUUCAUAUGAUUAUCUAAUUAACUCAUAGGGAUAUUUUCCAUGAUGGGACUAUGUAACUAUUGAUGAGUAAAUUCUGGUGAAAAUUCAAGAUUGCAGAAACUCAGCAGGAGAUUUCACAAGCACGGGCCAUGAUUGAAGAAGCAGAACGCUCACUUGGACCUAAUGAAGCUAAUUAUGGAGAUGGAAACGCUUUCAGCAGCCAAGAAGAUGGUGAAGAAGGAAUUGAUACUGAUAAAGAGAGAGUAGAGUCAUUAAAAGCAGCUUUGAUAUCUGCAAUUGUUGGCACCCUUGCUGGAUUCCCCAUCUCCCUAACCCAAGUUUCCAGCACCACUCAGCUGCUGCUCCCUUUAUCACUCAAUUUCAUCAGCUGUGCAUUGUUUGGGGUCACUUUUCGCUAUGCAGUUAGGAGGGACUUGGACAAUUUUCAGCUCAAGACCGGCACAUAUGCAGCUUUCGGUUUUGUGAAAGGUAUGUAUAACUGCAAUCAGGUGCUGCUAGACACAAAUCUUUAUGCGUAUAGUCCGUAGAAUAGGAUAUAUGCAAACAUAGAGCACAUUGUUCAGGUUUGAUAUGUAAAGUAAUAAUUGAAAAUGCAGGUCUUGGUACAUUGGGAGGAGGGGCUCCUCUGGAACUGGAUCCUGGAAGCUUCUUGUCUCAUGCUGUUGAUGGUGCAGUUUAUGUAUCCCAGAAUCUUCUCGUUUUUUUAUUUGCUGCUGUUGGCUUGGAUUUUUGCAUUAAGAUGAGGAUUUUAAGUCCUUUUCCCAUGAAAAGAUCAGCUCCGAGGACGGAUACAAGGUGAUCAGAAAUUUCAAAUGGAUGAGAAUCAGUAUUUAUGGCUCAUUUUGACUGCAUUCUAUGUCAUACUUGGAUUACAAUCCCCCCCCCCCCCCCAACCCCCAAUGGGAACAUGAGAUAGUUCAUUAUUAGCUAUACUUGUAAUAAACUUAACAUAGUGGCUGCCGAAGUGUAUGGUAAACCUAAUCGAUUGUUUACAUAAAGAGUUUCAAGAUGCUGGUUAAUUCAAAACCAUUCAAUUCAGGGGUCUUUGCUCCCAUGGUGACAUCUCCAAUUCCAUUUAAGAUCUCAUGCUUUUAUAUAAAAUGUAUUCUUCUGUUAAAUUCCAAAUAUGGCCACAGUGGAACACUCCUCCACACCCACAAACAUUUCAGAACAAUGAAUCCAAGUCAAGUAUCAAGUUUAUAAGCCUAGUACAUUUCUGAAUUUUCUAUUCACUGAAUAACACUAUAACUUAAACAGCGAGGAGUGGCUUAGGCUCUUACUCAAGGUUAGUAUUCAAGAAUAUCAAAAUUUGCAUGUGCUCCAUCACAACUCAAUCCAGUAACCAAUUGAUUGCAUUCAACUUAUGUUGAUGAACAAGAGCUAUACCCAUUGUGCUCAUCAACACCGAUGCUUGUUUUCAUGGAAGCAGAUAAAGCUUUCUCAAAGUCCAACUGCGACAAUGGUCUUGGUGCCUGUAACUACACACCAAAAACACCAGCUAGUUAAGACAGAUUGCUAUUGCACAAGUCGCAACAAAACAUGAAAGAGCAUACUGCUAAUCUUCUAAAGUAAAGAUCUUAUGUGAAUUUAACAAGCAACUUUCACCAAAAGAAACCCAAUGAUUUGGUGAUUAACUGAUAAAGAUUCUCAUACCUAUAAAGAGUAAAACAAGUGAUUUAUCUGUACUUACUUGACGUGUCUUUUUAGCCUUCUCCUCAUUUAAGAGAUCCCUGAGAGGAAUAUAUGCUGCUUGUUUGCAGAGCUCAAAUAAAUCAGAACCAGUGUAACCUUCACAUAAUCUAGCUAUGAGGUACAAAUCAAUAGCGUCCUCCACUCUUUCAUUCUUCAAUAUCACCUUCAAUAUCUUUUCUCGAUCAUCACAGUGAGGCUUUCCAAUUUCAAAAACCUGGGAGAAACGCCUAAGAAUUGCCUCAUCAAGCUCUGCUGGACGAUUAGUUGCACCAAGUACCAUAACUCGAGCAUUCUCUGAAUGCAAGUUAAUAGAAAAUUCAACUUCAUAGCUAUAUACAAAAGUUAGAAUGCUGAAUAUCAACAUACACUAAUUAUUUAAAGCUAUACUACUACAUGCCCAGAUCUUUUCCAAACUGAUUGAUCACUUCUGUAUGAAGAACACAAGAAACGUCACUAUAUAACAGUGUUAAACAGUUUUAAAAUAUAAAUCUGACAAAACACCCCACUUGAUGUGACACACAUGCUUUUCUAAUACCUAAGAAAUUGAUUUAAAUACGUAAUGACGCUAAAAAUCAAGGUAUGAGGCAAAAGGAAAACCAUCUUGAAUUAAAAUGUAAAAACCAUUCUUCUAAUAUUGUAGUUUUGACAGUACAAUGUAUAUGUUAAUUCAAUGGUUAGCUACACAGUAGGAAAGUGUAUAUAACACCUGACCAUUGGAUUAACAAAUUUUGUAUCCUUAACCCUUCUAAUUCAAUCGUGUUUUAUACCGAUAAUGUAAGUUAGAAAAGGACAUUUAAUUUAUCGUACAUUCACAGAUUAAAAGUUAGUUCAUAAUUAAGGUAAUAACAAAGAAUACUCACGAUCGGUGGUAAAACCAUCCCACAAGGCCAUGAACUCAGUUUUCAUAAUAGCCAUUGCCUCAUGGUCCGUGGCUCGUCGUUGCCCCAGAAAACUAUCCACUUCGUCGAUAAAUAUAAUAGCCGGUUGCAGCUUAUAAGCCAAACUAAAGACAGCAGCCACUGCAAUAAUAUAACAUAAUGGCAUUAAUAUAAUCUUAGAAGUUAGAAAUGUGUCUAACAAGGAUUAAACGAAAUCCCACUGUUCAUACCUAGUUUUUGGGCGUCACCGAACCAUUUACUCAUCAAAUUAGAAACUCUGACAUUAAUAAAAACAGCCUCAGAUUCUUUUGCAAUGGCUUUGGCAAGCAUGGUUUUCCCGGUCCCUGGUGGUCCGUACAAAAGCACCCCUUUUUGGGGACCCAAAAGUUUGCCAUAAGCAAAAAGCUCAGGCCUCUUAAGAGGAAGAAUAACCAACUCAUAUAGUGCUUUUUUUAUUCUAUCAAGCCCACCAACAGAGUCGAAUUCUACGUCUAUGUGAUCUGGGUUCACCACAUCACCCACUAUCACAUCCUGCAUUUUAUGGGGAAAAAACAAUGACUUCGAGAAUAUAAAAGGGGUUUUGCCCAAUCUAUAUGUAAUUAUAAACGAUGAUUUUGUUUUUUUUUUUCUUUUUGAAGUACCUCGUAAGGGUCAGUGUGGAUGAGGGGGCGACCAAGGCGUUUGGAGAUGGCAUUUUUGUUCGCAAUCGAUUUCUUAGAGGCAUCACGAUUUGGGUUUAGUUGUUUGAGGCCGGCGAGGACCAGGCAACUGAAAGCGAUGCUGGCUGCAUAUAAGAGUAGGUCUUGUAACAAGCUUCUAUCCGAACGACGGCCGGGGGCCAUGGUUGUUGCUUGCCCCUCUGUAGGCCACCGCCAAAAUUGUUGGAAAUUGUGAAGGGAAAUGUAGAGGAAGGGAAGAAGCGUUGCCGUUAUGUCCGUUUGCAGUGCACAACAACGCCGAUGGUGAAAUGGGUUAAUGAAUGUUGGAACUGUUUGGCGCGCUACUAUAGAGCACAGGGACCAAUUGUCUCAUUGGGCUGUGGCCCUACAACUUUCUGUAGUCAUUAAAAUCUGGGUCAAUGUUCAGCUCUUUAGAGUCUUUAUAUAGGCUGAUGAAAAUUUCCUUUUAAAAGAGACACGUUUCAAGGAUCAAAAUAGCCCCGGCCCUAAAAUAGCCAUCUCAGUGACUGUCAAAGGAGAUCAUAUUAGAUAUUUCUUUUCUUUUUUUAAUUUUAUAUUGUUUGAAAAAGAGAGAAGAUAACACUGACUGAAAAAAUAAAUCUUUAAAAAAUGUUGGCAAUGGCAUUCAUAGUCCUAAAAAUUACAAUGUCGAAAUAUAUUAUAAAUAUAGAAAAAGAUAUACUAUACUGGUUCAACAUCCCAUGAUAGCUUCGAAUAAACACCAACUUGGUUGUUCAAAUAACUUAAUAUGAAACUCAGCUUUUUCUGGACACAACCAAAACUCAUAAAUCUAACCUUUCUAUGCUACUUCCAUGAUUCUGGCUCUGGAACUGGAACAUCAUUUUUUUUUUUUACAUGAAAUAUUCAAGUACAAGCAUCCUCAUGCACCCAUAAUAUUUGCUUAUUUGUCAUUGAAGAAGCUGAAAUCUGCAAAGGGAUGUAUCAGAUCAAAGCCUUCUACUGUUCUAAGGUUGUCGAUGGCUCAUAGGCAUUAGGCAAACAAUGGCGGAAUACAACUUCACCUGCCUACUUUACAUCUUUUGCCCAAUUAUACAUUGGGAGUUCACUGUACAGUGGUUGUCACAGCGUUCUUGGAUAACCUUCCCUUCUAAUCCCACUCUUCCCCACCAGACAUCAACCUAAGUUGUUGUUGCAACUGCAUAAUGAUAAUGAAACUAUCAGAGCCGAUGGAUAGCUUUUCCUUCUUCGCAUUUUCGAUUAUUAACGAAAAUAUUGAGAAAGAACAGAUGAAUCAAGUUUCGAGCAAUGGAAAGGGGUGGAAUGCUUAAACUAGGUCCAGAAUCAACAUCAGAUCUUGAGUGUAUCCUACUCGCACACGACCAUGAAAUAAAGAAGAGGCAACAUAAAGCCUGAAAAUGUAAUUAGGUAUCCAUCAUGCAACUCACUUGAUCGUAUUUUAACUUUUCAGCAGUCAAUUCAUCAGUCAAACUCAUCAUUCUGCAACAAGUGUUCAAGGAAGAGAGUAUCAGAAGAAACUUGUAUACAUAGGAGGGAAAGAAUGGCUUCCACUUGGUAACAGAUUGCCAACAACUAACCUCGACUGUAGCUCUGAGAUCUUGCCAAGCAGUAAACGCUCCCUCUCAGAGGCUGCUGUUUUCACCUAUUCACAAAGAAGACCAGAUAAGGAAGGAAGAAUAACCUGCUAGAUAUUAGUCAUAAUUAAGAAUAGAUAAAAGGUUCUUACAUUUCCAUUGCUCUCAGAACAACGAGGUAGAGGAGGCAACUUUCCAUUUUGAGCGGCUGGGAAAACAAAAAGAGAAACGUAUUAACACUACAAGCAGUGUAAUUCCUAAUUUAAUCAUGUAACUGUGAUAGACCAAUCUUUCACUGACCAUCUACAAACUCAGCUGGCUGCAAUGUAUUCAACAAAUUCACAAUAAGAUCCUAGCAUUCCAAAACAACUUUUAGUGAGAACAUUGUCUUUAAGGCAAGAAAGUAUGUAUCAGCGAAAUGAUUGUCCCAACUCCAAAUCUUUACCUGUUGAGCAGAGGUUUGCUGGAGAAGAUUCUGAAGGUGAGUCAUAACAAUUGAGGUGGGCAUGUUACCAUUGGUCAAAUCCUUGGGGGAAUGAUUGUUAGGCUGAAAAACAGGGAGGGGUGGGGUGGGGUAACUGUAAGCAGACAAAUUAAUGACAUAGUGCAGCAGCAUAAUAAGCAGCUAAACAUGUUCCACCACCAGAAUGUUUGAGCCACGUAAAAGAUUAAAUGAAUUUACACUGAAGUGUAGUUAUUACCCCCUAUUAAUGUGAAACAACAUAUAUACUUCUUCUUGCUACUAUAUACCUCAUUAUAAUAUAAAUCGUAGAAAACAAAAUCAGUUGAGUGAGGCUAGUAUUUUGUGAGCCUUUCAGAAGGCAUGCGCCUCAAUAAAGGUGUAUCCAAUGGAAGGCACUUUCUCUAAUUUGUGCCAACCUUAUUACCUAGGCACAUGCCUUAACAAUGGCUCCUCCAUUUAUAACACAUCCUUAAGCUUCAAGAUGGAAGAUGUUAAAAUAAACAGUGCAUAAUUCACAUUAAACCAUGUUGAGGAGAAGAUCUAGUGCACGAACCGCUUGUUUGUAUUCAGGUAUCCAGUCACCCACACUAGCAGACUUUCUGAGAGGUGAAGUCUGAAACCCAAGAGGAAAGAGAGCAACCAGUAAGAAGUGGACAAUUAAUAGUGUUAAUAGAAGGAUAUUUAAGCAAAGACCACUAACCAACCUGUGACGAUCGGCGCGAAACUGAACUUAGAGGAAUAUCCUAUAGAACAUUAUUUGAUUAGUGAAGUUGCAAAAGAGAACUAAUAUAGCAUUAAAAUUGAACCUUACCUUUACAAGAUAUAAAUUUUCAGAUGUUACUGAAAAUCGACCUUUUAUUUGCACCAGAUUAGCCUUUGACUUGUCAUCCAGAGAAUCCCUAAACCCUGUCAAAGGAGGAAAAUAAUGAUACUACAUAUAUUUAAAUCCCAGUGUCCAAAUAUUAGUAGCACUGAUGGUGAUGCUGGUGACACAAAAAAAAAAAAAAAUUCUAAAUGCCAUGAAUUUAUUACCUCCAGAUGAUUUAAUUGGAGCUGAUAAACUGUUUGCAGAUGCUCGAGUAGGAAGCAUCAACGGACCACUAAAGCUUGGUGCUUUACGAACUAGGCAAACUCUCUCAUUCACUUGUGAAAUUUCAUUUUCAAACCUAAUCAUCAGCAAGCAUUAACUCCACAUCCUACAGUUUCUCUUCUAUUUUAAAAGAUUUAUUAAUUAUUUUCUUAAAUUAAAUUAGACAAGAGUUUGUCACACAUGUAAACGCAGUUAAUGUAACAUUAAGUUAGACAAGACCAAAGCACUAAUACAAGCAACUAUAUUAAAAUUUACGCUUACAAGCAACUAUAUUAAAAUUUACGCUUAUACAAGUAUGCAAUCAAUGCUAUGCUGAAUCAACUCAAACAUUUGAAUCAGAGAGAGAGAGAUCCCUAAUAUGCUAUAAGAAAACUAAAAUUAGAACCAAUUGUGCUAAAUGUUAAUGCAUAAACAUCAUCAGAUAACAAUUAAUUGGAGAAAAGGAAAAGGUUGAGAUCACUUCUUAAAUAAUAAUAAUAAUAAGAUAAAUCAAAUGGAUAAGCAAGCCUAAAUAUGAACUAUCACCAACCUUUCUGAGUUAUGAACCCGCUCAGAAGAUGAAUGAUUAAGAAUAGCACCAGGUGUGAGUGGCCCACUUUGGGUUUGCCUAGGUUUCACUGAUUUAGCCCCGGUCAUGACCACUUCCUUUUCUGAAGUUGAUGCCGUAAUAUCAAUGCCUAAACCAUUUUUCCUCAAACCCUUCUCGUGCAGGCCAGCCUCAACCAUAUCACAUUCUGGGUUCUUUCCCUUUUCAUUCAAGCAAUCAGACUGUAAUAAGUCAAUGGUCAUUGGUUCUCCAAAUUCAGACUGAGAUACUUCCCCAUUUAAAUUCAAUGUUCCCAAACCAGAUCCACGGUAAGCUUCAGCCUGUCAACAACACCAGGAACCCGUUAACAUAUUUUGCAAUAAGGGACAAAUAAGGAGAAAAAAACAAUUUCAAGGUGCAUAAGUAAAAAAAGAAAUACCACUUUAAUCAUGUAUCACAAAUCACCGAGGGGGAGGGGGGGGGGAAACUACACAACUACCUUAUGACCAAAGCUUGAUUUCAGGCUUUCAUAAUCAUCUUUGCACUCAUGAAUAUCAUCAUCACGCACCUUAGCAUGUUAAAGUAGAAAAAUUAUUAUAAAUUGAAUAACUGAUAUAACUGACAGAGAAAUUACUUCUCACAUUAUAUGUCUGCAUUAAAAUCUUUAGUAUUAAAGAGUAAAACUAAAUAUGUGGCCUACCAGAGAUGCUUGCGCUUUCAAAUCCUCAAUAUCAAAAUUCCAGGCACUAACUCCUCUUUGGUACUCGCUCUGACAAGCAGAAGAAAAGAUAACACCACAAGCAGUAAAAAAGCACAAAUGUCCCCAAGUGGACAACCCAAUAGUUAAAACUUUCACGGAUAUGUUAUGAGAAGAAAAAAAUCUGAUUUAUCUAAGACAAUAAUGACUUCUGAUUGAUGACUGCUAACCUGUGAUAUAGCUUCUUGUUCUGCAGAAGGCAUUUUCUUUAGAGCUAGUUGUGCAGCAUCUUUAAGCUGUAAAAUUUCAAGCAAAAAAGAAAAGCAUUAAACAAAUAUGACGGCAAAAGAAGCAAAAUACCUGCAUUGUGGCAGUGUGAUCACUAACCUGAAGGGAUUUCACACGAUUCCAAAGUGGUGGCAGACCAGCAAAUAAUUUCUUCACAGAGAGCUCAGGAGGCUUUGCAUGCUUGAAAAAGGAGUGUUUUAAUAAUUUCUCUGCAGUCGGCCUCUUUGUUUGAUCUUUCACCAGGCACAUUGCAACCAUUUCUUUGAAAGACUGAUCACAGCUGGAAGUCCUUUAAUUAGAAAUUUGCUAUGACAAGUAAGCAAUUGCAAAACACCACUGAAGGCACCAACCAAUGUUUUACAUUCAUAAUGACAAAUAACAUGUCUAUCAUUGUUAUGGUGUAGCCGGAAAGAACAGCAGUACCUUAGAGAACUUCUUAUCACGAUCAUAAUCAAGUCCUGGAGGAGCAUUUUGUAUUGUCAUCAAGAGAACCUGUUAAUGUUGGAUAAAAAAAAGGUUGUGAACAUAUAUAAAGGUUGAUUAAAAACUCAUGAUAGCGAACGCUCACUGUGCAGCACUCAUAUAAAUUCUUGUUAUAUUUUCAAUGGAGAUUUGAUACCUUCAUUGGGGGAUAUUUUGAGAAAGGUGCAUGACCAUGAGCCAACUCCAAUGCUGUUAUACCAAAAGACCAUAUAUCAGCCCUGUGCCAGGAAAAAAAAAAGCAAUUAAUGAAUUACAGAAUUAACGUGGAAUAAAAAUGUACCAUUUCCUUAAAGGUACCAAGAAAUGCAUCAACAUAGCAUGCAACUGAGCAAAAUUCAAUGCAACCCAAGCAUACGAACCAUUAGCCAUAUAAACUUUAGCCAGACUCCCACAAUACCAUUUGAAGAUUCAGAAUACAGAUUACAAUUUACAUGCAAAAGUGGUAACUUUGAGGCACGUAAGUGCUUUCAUAGAAAGCCCAGAUGUGUGGAUAAAGUGAAGUUUUGCAUUUUCAGAACAAAUGUCGCUCAGACCAAAUUCACGAGUCCUUGUAGGUUCAAACUCAUGAGUCAUGACCACCCCUUGCCACACUGAAGCAGAAAAUACUUGUGUACACUAAGAUGUCGUGCUUAUGCAACAUUGUAAGGUGACAAUGGAUUUAAGUGAAAUUCUAAGACCUUAACUUUAUGUGAAGACUGAACACUCACUUGGAGUUAUAUCCACUUCCAGGCUGCAAGACCUCUGGUGCCAUCCUGAAAGAAAGGAUAAAUAGGAAUAUCAGCGUACAUGAGGAGCAGAAGAGAAGGGUAAUAGUUGGACAGAUUUGACAAAGAUAGCUCACCAGCAAGGAGUCCCAACAAAGGUAUUUCUAGAACGUUGUCUAUCUCCUGCAUCAAACAUGCAAGCUGAAACACCAAAGUCAGCAAGCUUUACUGUGCCAUUGUUAUCAAGCAGUAUAUUUCCAGCCUGUAAUGCCAAUUAAAUAGAACUUAAAUAAAAUAAUGGUGAAUCCAAUCAGAUAACAUAAUGCCAACUUCCGUGAGGCACUGACCUUAACAUCCCGAUGAAUAUGUCCUUGUUGAUGAAGAUAAUACAGAGCUUUAAGAGUUUCUUUCAGAACAGAACCAAUAGCAGGCUCUUCGAAACCAUCUGGAUAUGCUGACUUCAUGAGGUGCAAACAGGAACCCUCUGACAUGAAAGGCAUGACUACCCAAAGAUUAUGGUCAACCACAAAAGAACAAUAUGCCCGAAUAACAUUUGGGUGAUCAAUCAAACUCAUUGUUUGAGCUUCCCGGCGUAUAUCAUCCUGCAAAACAGCAUUAAGAAAGCCCAUUAAGAGCCAAUAGAUCACAUGAAGAGCAGAAAAUAUGGAUCUAAAUAUACUACUCAUGAUACUACCAAUUAUUAAAGCCUCUAAACAAUAUCACAAAAGAUCCCAAUAGCCAAAAAAGAUUUUUGGUACACAUACUUGAGUGAUUGUAUUACUACCAAAAGUAGAAAAUUCCCAUAGAAUGAUCAAUAGUAAUGAAACAAGCAAGCAUGCAAGAUGUUUGGUACACAUGAACUGGAUCUAAGGCCUGGCCUGGAUUGAGAGGAAACUAGGGAAAGGAAAAGGAAGGUUUCUAGUGUAGUACUGUGUCCCUUAUUUAGAGAACAUUUUAACAUGAUAAAAUCCCACCACAAGCAAGUCCAAACUUUUAAUCUCUUAUUAUACUUGGAAUGGAAUCCUCCUGAUCUCUCAAUACUUCCUCAAGUUGAGUAGCAAAAAUUCUAUGAAAACAAGAUCAUAUCUCUUUUUUUUUUUUGAAAGUAAGAUUAUAUCCUUGAAUAUCAAGUAGACAAUAAUUCUAUUCCUCUAUGCAAGUAUUCCAGAUUUACACAAUUUAAAAACAAAAGAAAGAAAAUAUCAGGGAUUCAGGAUGACACAUUUUGAAGUAAUCUCAGCUUUAAGUAACCAUUUAAUGUUGAUAGACCACUUUAAGAGCACACAGUAGCAAAAGCAGUUCAGCACUAAAAUGCCUAAUCUAAACCAAUGGCGUAGAUGCUAAAAGAAAGAUAACUCUAAUUUGAAUGAAAUAUUUCGGAUAACACUAUUAAAUAUUAUUUCUUUGCUUCCUUAGAAAUAAUUAAUGAUAGACGAUAAAAAGAAAAAGUUUCAACUUUACACAAGCUCAAAAGGAACAAAAACCAAGCACCAUAUGAAGUGAUAGAAACAAGCACAUACAAAGUAUUAAAGUUAUGUGACCCAAAUCCCAUUUGAUCCAACUUGAAAAGUUCCAGAUGCAACUCUCUUAUUAAAGAAAUAAAAUUGGAGACCUGUGGCGGGCUAUGACCUCGAGCCGAACCCCAUCCACCACUAAACUCGACUAGGGGUGCGACCGGAGGUGCGCCCCCACGGUACGGGUCAUGACGCACAAGUUGAAUCCGUAUAUGACUAUACUUUCUUCUAUUAGACAUUGAUUAUAGCAGGGAUGUUUAACUUCCAAGUAAAAUCUGUGUGUUCUUAUUAUUAUUAUUUUUUUCUUUCUUAUUGCUUUGGGAUCAUUACUAUCGCCAUUAUCGACAUAUAGGAUAAUAUAAAGCUUCAAUUCGAUCAUGUUCAAGGUAUAACAAACUCCGAAAAAAUUCAAAGAAACGAGCUUCAAUAAGAAAAGUAAGAAUAUCAUAAUUCCGUUCAACUCGACCAAAAACAAUCACUGAAAUCCACAAUCAAAUCAAAUUCAAUCGAACGAGAUCUCUAUCCAAAACUAACUAAAAUCAAAUCAAGUACGCUCAUUCAUUUGACUAGAGACAGUUAAACUAAAAGAAAAGUUCGAGAAAAAAAAACACAAACCAGAUUACUGUUGCAACGAUCGAGAUCCAAGCAUUUCACAGCUACGAUGUCGUUAGUAGGAAGGAAGAUCGCUCUAUAAACAGUAGCACUGGCGCCAUAACCAACCUCUUCUAGAAGCUUGUAAUCGCUAGGAUUCGCUGAGUAACUCCGAUUUCCUCCCAUUCUCCGCAAAACCUAAAGCAUUAAACCGCCUUUUGGAAAAAGAACUAAAUCACUAGCAGUCGAGUAAUGGACGUUGAACGCCGGCGGCGGAGUAAUUAAAGUAAAAGAAUCGUAGUGAAAAUUAAAAAGGCAGCUUCUUCUUUUUUAAUUAUUGGUUGGUGAAGUGGUUAUUUGAUCCGUUGACCGCCAUGAGUAGCGAUAUGGGGGGGGGGGGCUGAUUUGAGGGAGAAGAGAUAUAACCGGGGUGGGUGCUGACGUGGCGUUUAUGUUAGGUGAUUAGGAUUUUGACACGUGGACUUGAUGGUUUCAUCACUUCCGUGUACUGUUUGAUCAUUUUAAUAUUUUUCUAUCUUUUUUCUUUUUCUUUUAAUUUUCUAUCCGAAUAAGGAAUAAUAUAAAAUUUUGAUUAGGUGAUAUUCAUGAAUAAAUUAUAAAUCAUAGUUAUGUAAACUGUAUUGAUUAUAACCAUAAUUUUGUCUUUAAUAUAUAUAUAACAUUAUAUAAAAACUAUUAAAUUGGAUGAUGUGAAUCAAUAGAAGACGAAAGAUAGAAAACUACACCAAAGCAAAUAAAACCCGAUUAUAGAAGUCCAGGGUUAUGGUCAUAUCAAAGAUAAGUUCAAGCAUCAUCUUAUACAUGCACCUAAAUGAACAUUCUCAAUCAUCUAAAGCCUCAUAUCUGCACCAGAGACGCUUGGAUUCAGAAUCCAUGGCCAUCGGCAUCUGAAAGUUUCAUGUUCUUGACCCAAAGUCCUAAUCAAAUCACCAUUUAAUAUUAUUAAACCAUAAAUAGGAAAUGUUUUCCGUGAUUCUCUCUCAAUAAAAUUCAUUCAAAACUUACUAAACCCUGUAAGUUGGACUUACUCUUAGACCAAAUGCCAAAUUUGGGAAGCAUUUCAGUUUUCUUGGGUUGAUUUAUUGCCAAUUGCAGCUUAGCCAAGCCUCAUUUAUGUCAUUAAAAAAAGCAAGUAUUUUGGCAAGUACUUUUUCCCCAAUAAUUCGUUUGUUACAAUAAAUCACUCGAAUUGGAGUUUCACAAAAUUUCUAAAUUUGGGUAACAAAUAAAAGAUUAACACAACCUUAGAAUAUAAAUUCCCCAAGGUAAAUUUUUUUUUUAACAGUGUCAAAGUAAUCGCAUGCGCCUCAAGCUUUUGGCAGUGGCUUUAGAAACAAAAUAUCCAACCCCGAAGCAAAUGAUCCAAAUGCCCACAUCAAAGGCCCAGCUUACACCCGCCGCUUCUAUAUCCACCUCUUCUCCCCCACUAUCCGCUUCUCCACAACUGCAACAGAAUCCACCGUCCCUUUCACUUUCUCCUUCUCUCUCCUCUGGAAUAUCCUCCAGCUGAUCGAACCCCAUCCUCCUGUUCUUUCUACACUUCCUCACUACCAUCUCCACCCUCUCCCCCAUCGCCAGGUCUCCCUCCACCGCCACGCAAACAUCCGCAACCGCCGCUUUACCGCCUAUCAUUUCGGUAUUGUCACUCUCCAGCGCGCACUUGCAUUCCAUUUUCCACUUUUCUUCUUCUCUCCUUAAAACCCCGUUCAACACCUUUUCCUCUCUCGAGUAAACCUCGAACCGGACCCCAUCCCCGGCCCGAAUCCGCUCCCUGCUCCCAUAUAUCGCCUCUCCGUCCCUCGUCUUCAAUUUCACCAAUCGAUGGAGUGUCACGAACGCGGGAGAACCGGGUCGGGUAAUGGAGCCGGAAAUUUCUAGCCGCGCCGUGUCAUUGAUUCUUGGUGGGAAGAGUAGAGUGAGCGAAUCGGAUAACGGGUCGGCACAUGAAUCGAAAUCCGAAAAUCGAACGAAGAAAGCUUUGAUCUUCAGAAGACUUUGAUCGCCGGAGCGAAAGUCGUAAUAAUCCACAGAUCUGCACAUAAUUUUGUAGUUCCUUUGAGAAUGAAGAUGACUUUUAAUGGGUUCAUAUUCAUAUAUGAAUAUAGAAAUGGGAUUUAGUCGGCGCCGCCGGAAGAGGAGACGUCGGUUUUGGAGAGGGAAACGAGUGGAAAGCACACGGUAUUUGGUGGUGACGUGGAGAAGAAGACAAAAAGAUCCGCGGCUUGUCGGAUUAGACUAGAGUUGCAGAUCUGACUUUUGGUGGAGUUAAAUAUCUAGUACUUCGCGCAGUAGAGAAAGAAAAUGGUUGUGCUAUGGUUUGAUGAGAAUGGACGGUCAAUGAUCUCGUUCUGUUAAUUAGGUUGGCUUUUUUUAGUAUCAAAUAAUAAUCAUUUUCAUUCCACAAGUGAAGUGAUCACGGUCAAACGAGGACGAAUUUAUCGUAAAAACAAAGUUUAAUAAAGUCAUAAAUCCAGUCACACAAAACGAAGAGGACGGUCGAAGACUUCAAUUCAAUACAAGAUAAAACGUGAAAGGUAAGUAAAAUUGUAAAACCUGAAGAGAAAAAAAAAUUAAUUAUUAGUAUAUUUAUAUUUUAGUUAUUUAAUUUUAAAAAUUAUAAAAUAAUUAUUUAAUUAUUUAAAAUUUUUCAUUUAAAUCAUUUAAUUAUGUAAAAAAAUUUAUUUAAAUUAUUGAGCUAUUAAGUUUUAAACGAAUAAUUUAUCUUGAUUCGUAUAUUUAUGAUGUUUAAAAUUAUUUCAUAAAAAAUUUAAUAAAAAAACUAAAUAAGAAGUGAAAAUUUUCCAAUUGAUGUAAAUAGUAUAAAUAGUGUAAAUAGAGAUUAGAUAACAGUAUUUUUAAUAAUUCUAUAACUUAAACAAAAAUUUUCAAUUAAUUCAAUAGUUAUUUUGUAACAUUUUGGACUAACUUGGUAUAAUUUACCCUUACUUAAAUUAAGUCUCCUCCCAAUAUUAUUCAAAAAAAAGAAAAAUUCUCUCCACCGAUAGCUGAGGCAAAGACUCCAUACGUUCUCACAACGUUUUCAGCCAUGGAAUUUAGUUCGACUGCGGAAUAGUUUGAAUGCGAAUGGAGUCCUAUGUGAUUAAAGAAAAAUUUCACAUCACAAAGAAGUUAUAAAAAAAGUCGAAAUUUUAUUCUUUAAUUAACAUACUAGUGAUUAUUUUUGCAAAUAAACUGAACAAUGGGAAAGAACUGACACAUAAUGGCAAAUUUCUGUCAUUUCAAUAUGCAAGCAAACAAAGCUAAAAACAUUUUAAAUAGCUGAUUUCUCAGCGUUUGCCACCAUCACCCAGAUGAAGUAUCGAGUGCGGGCAAUAUAACAUAGUAGAUGUAAAUCCCAUAAUUUACUUGGUUCAGGGUAUUCGCCUAUCAAAACACUUUGUUUCAGGCUGAAAUGUCAAAUAACUUGGAUCCCUUCUUUAGUUUAGGGUUCCAUAAAUGUAGCGAGGAGUUGAGUUGGGGAAAAAUCAGUGAAAAAAAAGGGCAGGCAGAGUGGUUUGGUCUUAAAUCUUGUCAUGUAGGUUGACCACUAAAUCAUGGGCAUCGUCGAGAAGUUUCCAGACAUCCAGAUGCCCGGCCAUACUAUUGCAUUCUCUCAUUAUCUCAUCCAUGCUGCUAUACUUUUCUAUGAUUAGCUUCCUCCUUUGCAAAACACAUGCUGCUAUUGCAUAAAGCAGGAGAUCAUCGGUAGGGGGAGCACGAAGUCUCAUCCUCCCCCAAGCAGACCUUGCAAUGCCGGCACGGAUAGCUGCUUGGUCUGCCCACAUCACUUCCCAGAGGCAAAGUGUCUGCUCAAAGUUCAAUUCCCUCCUGAAAAGUACUAUAACCAUCCUAUACACAAAAAAGCAGUCUUCAGCUUGAAGCUUCUCGAGGUGUCUAUAUAGAUGAUUAUCCUUACACUUGAUAAUCUUGGAGACAAUGUUUAACUGUCUUCUAAUCCCCACCUCAUCAAGUCGGAAAUUGUGACGAGCUCUUUUCAUGAAACCUGCAAAGCACCAGAAGGCCUCAGAGUCAUCCUCUACCACUGAGAUGAUUGGAGAGAGCAGAUCACUCAUUCCUUGGCAGUAACCUAUCUCGGGAUCGUAAAGGGCAUAAGCCUCGAGAAUAGAAACCAGGCGAGCUGCAUGAAAAAUCCUGCAUGGCUCUAAAUCAUCAUAAUCUUUCAACCCAACACUCUCAGCUAACCUUCGUGCUUUCAUUGUGGAUACUGAGGCCUGAGAUGGAGAGUAAAUGAUCCAGUCAUCAUUUGCCCUCACUGCAUCAAGGAGGAUAAUUCUCCGCCAUGUGGCAAAAUCUUCAUCAGUGGGGGUUGCAGACCUGCCUUCUAUCUGGGAGGGAGAGGAACUAUCAUUAUCAUCUUUAUGAAUAUCAUUUUCCUCGAUUAUUUCAGAGGAAAGGAGAGGUGUGUUUUCAUCUUCUUCAGAAGAGUCAGAAUCAGAUGAUUCUGUCUCACCAGUACAGGCAUCUUGACUAAUGACUACUCUCUUAUCAACCUCUCCCUCCAGAAAUGAAUCAGAAGAUAAAGAGCUUGGAUGACUAUGAUCACAGAUGCGGUGAUCAGAAUCAUCAAACACAGGGCUUCCUCCCUCGGUGGAGUGGGACUUCCUACCACUAACCACAUCCUCCAAGCCUGGAGAAUCAAAAACUUGACUGAAACACUCAUUGUCUUCAUUGCAGACGUUUCCAGCAGUUCCCUUCAACUUAACACUCUUCUCAGUACGUUUAAGGAUUUGGCGGCACCGCUUACGCAAUCUUUCAUACUCUUUUCUGCAUCAGAAAUACGUAAACAAACAGACCUUCAAUGAAAGAAAAAAGAUGGGGAGAAGGGGAAAACAAAUAUGGUAAAGUAACAAAGCAUUGGCAAUUAAUCUGUGUGUAAAAGAAGCACGAGAAAGAAAAUAAAUGAUACCGUUUCUGGCUUCUCAAGGAAUCUCUUUCUUCCUUUGAACUGUUGAAGUCGUAUCUGUUAAGCAUGCAGAUAUCACAGUCAGGUGGUGUAACAGGUCAUUUAUGAUCCACUUCUCAAAUGCAUAAGAAAACAUCUCCUCAAAAAUUGUGUUUUCCAGAUAAAUAAGUAAUACAAAAAAUUAUUACAAAUGAAGAAAAACUCGAGCAGCAAGGAAAAGAACUUAAAAUGGAUGCUUGAAGAAUAUAUAAUGCAAAUGAAUACAAUAAAUACUCCAUUUCCCCUAAAAUGGAUGCUUGAAAAACUCGAGCAGCAAGGAGAAGAACUUAAAAUGGAUGCUUGAAGAAUAUAUAAUGCAAAUGAAUACAAUAAAUACUCCAUUUCCCCUAAAAUGGAUGCUUGAAAAACUCGAGCAGCAAGGAAAAGAACUUAAAAUGGAUGCUUGCAGAAUAUAUAAUGCAAAUAGCAACUCGCAAGAUAAAUUUCUUCUAACUCAGGCUUUCCAUCCAUUAAAGAAUCAUUGAGACAUAAACAGUCAGAAAAUCACCAAAAUAUGGUAAAAAAAUGAUACAAUGAUGUAUUAGAAAAAGGAACCAGGCAACCAGACAGUGAUUUGAAAGGAGUAAGCUCAUAGAGAGGUUAUAGAAGUAAGAACUAAAUAGUUCAAAGAAAGGGAAGUUUACUUGAAUCAGAGUAUAAAAUGGUACAUAAAUAAAAGUAUAAGAAUCUUACAUUCCGAGGAGGAAUGGCCACACCUCUGCUCUAAUACUUGGAUCAACACCCUGCAUUAAAGGUGCAAAGAAUGAAUUCUCGAGAAGCAACAAAAUAUCCACUAAAAAAAGAAAAAAGAAGAAGAAAUACAAUGUCUAAGAAAAUAAUAUGAAGGUAAAGUCAAAUAAGUCUAAAGCAAGUUUAAAACAUACUCCACUUCGAAUUUUCUUCAGAAACUUGACACCACCAUCAAUGAGUUUCCCAUCAGCAGUGAACAAAUUCUUCCAUUGUUUAGGUAGAAGGGCAUGUUUUCUUCUCCUGUGGGACCAAGGUGAUUUUAGGCUACCCCUGCCGCAAAAGAAACAAAUUAAUGAAUCUUCUAUCAAGAUAUAAGUUUGAAUUAAGUUGACAAAACAAAAGCAUAGUUUUUUUGGGUUUAUGCAUGGUUCGUGAAAGAUACAGUUUAUGAGCUUAAAUACUUCCAAAAUUGCAAUGCAUCAUAUGUGGAAACAAAGCUUUUGGAACACUAAACUACUAAUGCUAAAAGCUAAGCAGAUACAUGGAAGAGUCAAGACAAGUAUGGGAAAAAAAUUAGCUAGUUCUGCAAAUAGAAACCCAUUGCAAGAGUAAUUACGAUCACUAAGAGAGACCUUAAUGAAGAUGGAAACAAAGAAAAACAACUCCAAAGCAACAACUAAAGAAUCCAAAUUAAUAGUAAACAUCUAUCAUGAAGUACUACAAAAUCGAGAUUUCAAUGGCUUUUAAUCAUGUUUCGGCUAAUGAAUUAGAUUCCGAAAGUGACUACUCCUCCUCCCCAGCAGUUAGAGGAAUCACAACACCUUGACUAGUUUGACCAACAUAAGUGUUGAAACAGUUGAGGCUUUCAAAAAUACUUUGAAACUAAGUUGAAAAACGAACCGAAUAAUAAUCAGAUUCAGAACCUUCGGAGAGACGAAGAAACAGAUAGACUGGAAUCGAACUCUUAUUAACAACCUAAGGAACAUGAUGUUGAUGGAAUUGAUUCGACUACUUUCAGAUCGGGGAUUCAAGUAAGGAAUAAGAAUUUUUAAUUUAUACAAAAAUAGAAAAUUGGGAAUCUAACAUAUCCAGGCAAAAAUAAGCAGAAAUCUUUACUUAAAAUAAAUAGGGGGAAAUAAGGAAAGUAGUAGUUUAAGUGGACGAGGAAAAAGGAAACCCACCGAUCAGUCGGAAUUUGUUGGGAAGAAGAUGAGGAAGAUGACGAUGAAGAGGAAGAAGCAACGACUAAUAAAACCGAUCGCAAAUGAAUCCACGACGACGAUGAAGAAGAUGAAGUAUUUGACGACGAUGAGGAGGACGAUGACGUUGAUUGCGAUGAAGAUGUGUGACUUCGCCGCAAAGCUCGCAUUAAUGGUUUCUGUUCCGUAAGCAUAUCGAUUUCUAUGUGUCUUACUUUACCUAAUUAAUAUCCAAAAUCAAUCUAAGCUCCAUAUGCUGCGUUAAUGAUGGAAGUGAUUUUAAAUGAGAAUGAACCUUCUUUUUUUUUUUGUAGAAUCUUUUUUUCUUUCUUUUCCUUUUCUUUUUUAUCUACAAGAGUAGACGACGAUUGCGGCGACGGCGAUGCCAGCUACGGCAGUGACGGAGAUCGCUAUACCGAAGUUGAAACCACCGAAUUAGAAGACCAGAAACCGCCGCCACCUGUGCCAGUGCUAGCUCGCCCAAAUAAGAUCCAUUUACCAAAAUCAGCAGUAACGCCGUCACCGGAUGAGAAAAAGAGCAUCAAAACAGCGAUGUAAGCUAAAAUGACGGGUAAACCCAAGCCCAAAUCCCGAUUUGACUUUCGGUUUGGCUUCAGUUUCUGCUACUUCGUCUUCUGGUAGGUAACAAAGAAGAGAGCACUAACCAUCAACAAACGGAGGAUCCGCUUUGGGUUUUCAUUAUUAUUUUGAUUUUUUACUUCUUUUUUCCCAAUUCAAAGCUUUAAGCUCUCUUUUGAUGAAAGGCAGUAACUAUAAACUAUCUCUCUACCAAUUAUAAUACUUUAACUAAUAUUUUAUUCAUCUUCAUAUAACUAACUAUAAUAUACAAUUAUAUAUCUUUAUUGGAUAUUUCCCUUUAUUUUUAUUAGUGAAAGAGAGUGAUGAGAGUGACCGAGUGUCAUGGAAAAAAAAGUAAAAACGUCUAUAGAUGAAUUUGUUUUCUUGAAAAAAUUAUUUAAGAAAAAUGCUUCUUUUUUCGAUUUAUUAGAAAAUAAACUUUUUUUGGGGGGAGCUUUUCAAUAUGAGUAACACGAAAUUUUAAAUAAAAAAUAUCUUGAACUAAGGAUUACUGUAUUAAAAUCAUUAAUGUAAUUUAUUACUUUGAUAAAUUUAUUUAAUAAUAAAAUUUUUAUUUCAAUAAAUAAUUUUACUUUUAACUUUUAAAUACUGUUACUAUUUUAUUAAAACUAUUUUAUUUAAUAUGAAUAUUUUUAUAUAAAAAUAUUUAUUUAAAUUUCCGCUAAUUUCAUUUAUCUUUUCUAAUCCGACGGUGUUAUUAUUUACUCUCGUAAAUGUAAAUUUUAAUUAUGCGUUGGUUCUUAUUUAAUUUAUAUAAGAUAAAUUUGGUUUGUCUUUCAUAAUAUUUGUAAUAAAUAUAAUUUAUGUUAUAUUUACUUCAAAUUUUAGUCAGACUUGUCUAACAACAAAAAAUGUUUUGCCCAAUCAUUGAAAUUUUCCUAAAAAAAUAAUUUUAUUUUCCAAAAAUUAAUUUUUCAUAAGUUAUUUUUAGUGAAAUAAACACAUAUUUAAUCACAUAUCAUGUAUUAAAAUUAUGGUCGAAAUUUUAAAUUGGUCUCGAACUUUAGAACUUUGUAACUAAUUCUUAAAUUAUCAUUAUCAUAUCAAUCAUGUUAUUCUAUCAGCUUAACCUUUAACUUUGAUAUUAAAUGUUUAUUAAAAAUGGCGUGAAUUAUAUUCAAAUACAUAAAUUAAACUGUAACUAAAUGUGGAUCUAUUACAUGAACCGUUUAGAUAUGACGUAUUAAUAAUAAUAAUCCUCCUAACAUUCCAUUGACAAUUUUUUUUUCUUUCAAUGUCAUAUCCCUGUUGCAAAUACUAAUAUGUUUACAAUUUAGUCCAUUAUUUUAAAUAUGCUCCACAUUAUAUCCUAAUUAACAUGUAAUGACUAAAUUGAUUGUUAGGCUGUCAGAUUUUAUUAGUACAAUUCUAAUACUUUUAGGAUUUAUUAUAAUAUUUCAAAGUUUAAAGAUCAAUUUAGAAAUUAUUUAAUAAUUUAGGGACGUUACACAAAAUUAACCAAAGGAACGUCUCCCAUUGUGGACGAUAGUUGGUUGGGUCUAUUAGCUCCGCCCAGUUUUCGGUUUUCCUUAAUUUUACGGAAAUUCAUUUUGUCAGGACAAUAAAUCUACCUUGAUUUGUUUUCUUUGUGUCCUUUAAUUUAUACUACAUCGAUUAAUAUGUUUAUAGAGUUCUUAAUUUUUAUUUAUGGAUGUUAAAAUAAUAAAUUUAGUCCCUGAUAUUUAUAUUUUUUUAUUAAAUUAAAUUUUAUUUUUUUUAAAAUUAAAUAUGUUCUUCAACCUUUUAAAAAAAUUAAAUUUAUCUAUUAAAUUUUUAGAAAAAGUCAAAUUUGAUCAUCUACAUUUCAAAAAUAGUUGAUUUUUUGUUUGCAAAAAAAAUAUUGACUAAAAUGUUAAAUUUUUAAACAUUAAAGCUUAUAUGGUAAUCUAUGUAAACUUCAUGCUAUUUUUUAAAUUUUUUUAAUAUUCUAAUAAAUUUAAAUUAUUUGUUGAUGUGGAUAAAUAAUGUUAUAUUAGCAUAAAAUGCAUGUGGACUACACAGAUUGCCAUGCCAACAUUGUUAAAAAAACAAUAUAUUAAUUAGCAUUUCAAUUAAAAUAAAAAUAAUUUGACUUUUUUCAAUUAUUUUAGAAUUGGACCAACGGUUAAAUUGGUUAGGUCCACUGUUCACUGUUCCAACUGAUUUGAUAAAAAAUAAAAAAUUUGAUUCAAUUAAUUCAAAACUUUUGUUUGAAACAAUGCUCGAUCCAAUGUACCUGAUUAAUUGGUCCAAUCAAAUUUUAAACAAUUUACCUUCUUUUUGAAGAUUAAUGACCAAGAUAUAUGUUGAGGGCUAAAAUUAUUGUUAUGCAAUUAUUAUUUUUUUUUCCAAUUUAGCAGUUAUAAUAAAUAAUGAAUAUUUCAUUUUUAUGAUUAUUUUCCAAUUUCAUAGAAAAUCCAAAACUACCGUUCGUGCAAAUGAAUGUGAAAACACGUAAAAACGCUUCACUUAAAGACAUGCGACAAAGCCAUGUCUUAAAUAUAUCAGGCAUUCACUUGUGUGUUUCAACAAACAUUCAAAGUCUCAUCAACCUCCACUGUCACCCUUCAAAACACACCAAUUAAAAAAUAUGCAGCAAACGACGGUUAAAAUUAAAAACCAAAAAGAACCCCCCCAAAAAGAAAAAGAUUUAAAACAAUUUGUAUUCAUAUACUUUGCUUGUUGCGGUUGUAUUUAGGAUUUUUAAUGAAAUCGAAACGAUAAAAAUUAAAAUAAAUUUAAAAGUUAAUUCUAUUAAAUAAUCACAUUAAUUCUUAAAUUUUAAAAUAUUUUAAUUACAUCUUUAAAUUAUUGACGUUAUAUCAAUAAAAUCUUUCUGUUACUAAGAUCGUUAAUUUUAUUGUUAAAUGAAACAUUGAUCUUAAGUAACAUAAUUUAAAAUAAAUACUUUAAAGAAAAACUAAUAUUGUAAAGAUCUUAAUUUUAAAGUUUUUGAAACUUUUAUAAUAACUAUCAUUCAUUCUCUUUUUCUUUCAAUUUUACUUCAUAUUUAAGUUUUUAAUUUUAAAAAUUAUGUGAAAGCAUUUUAAUUUUCUUAAAAUUUUUUAUUUUAAAUUAUCUCACAUAAAUACCAUUUAAUAAUUAAAUUAAUAAUUUCAACAAUAAAAGAACCGAAUUGAUAUAACAUCGAUAAUUUACAAUGAAAUUAAAAAAUUUUUAAAUUUAGAGACCAAUCUAAAAUAAAAACCAUAAUUCCGAGAUGUAUGAUACAAUUAAUUCUAAAUUUAAAAUUACAAUGAAAUCAACAUGUCAUUAAUAUUUUCCAUAUGUGUUUGAUAAGUGAGUAUAGAUGUGAAAGUGAUGUUUACUCUACGUAUAACAAAUAUAACUACAGAUUUUAUGACAACAUUAAGAAGAAAUAUUUCACUUGGUUUAAAAAUUUACGAUGUUCUCUUAAGAUGAUUGAAAUAAAAAAUCUAUAAAAUAAUAUUGAUCUCAAAUAUAAUUCCUAUUAUGACUAAAUGUAAUUAACUUCUUUUAUCUAAAAAACCAGAAAUAAUGAAGGUAGGUUAAAGACGUGGAGGAAGGGUUAGUGAAUAGCAUGGGCCAUGGGAGACAAAGGCCACAUUUAUGCCGCGUCACAUGCCAUUUGCUUCGCCUUCCACUACUAUCUAAAACUUAUGUCGCAUCGUACUCUUUUUCUUUACGUUAUUUUAUCAUCAUGAUGUUUUUUUUUCUUACUGUAAUAUAAAAAAAGACACUCUAAUCAAGUUAAAUAAGAAUUAAUAAAUAUAUUAUAAAAAAAUAAGAUAAAAAAAUAAGUGUUUUUUAAUUAGAUUUAUAGUUGAAUUAAUUUAAUCAUUGUUUUUCGAUUCAACUUGUUUAAAAUAAAUAAUUUAUAUAAUUUUUUUAAAUAUUGAAGAGAUAAAAUUCGAUUCAAUUAAUUUAUGAAUUCAUUAAAUUUCUUGUUUUGUUCCGAAUCGAUAUAUUAACAAGCGUGAAAUUAUAGAAAAAGUAUUAAAUUUUAUUUUUUAAUCCCAUUUAAUAGUUUAUGUGAUAUUCUUGGAGUUUUUUUUUUCUCCAAGAAAGCAACUUCUAAUGUUUAAAUUUCGGUAUUUGCAUUUUAUUUUCCUAUUCUGUUGUAGCAAUUUUUUUUUAUACUCAAAGUAUUGUUUUUUUUUUUGUUUUUUUAAAUCUGCACGAGUCCCUUCUAUCUCCUAACAUUUAACUUUUAUUAUAAACUAAAAAAAGUAAACAAGAGACUGAUUAGGUUUUAGUUUAAUUGUCACUGUUGUUAUUGCAACAGUUUUGAACAUGUGACUUUAACGAGGAUUAAGUAUGCAAUAUGGAAUAAGGGGUUGUGAAUAUUUUAGUUACUCUAUUAAAAUAUAUUGCUACAAUGAUAAAUUUAGUCUUCAAUAUUUAUAUAUAUUUUUAUCAAUUUAGUUAUAUUUUUUUAAUUAAAUCUUGCCCUCAACCUUUAAAAAAAGUUAAAUUUGAUUAUGAACUUUUUAAAAAAGGCUGAAUUAUCAUUUUUAAUGAGAAUAUUGAUUAAAAUGUUAAAAUUAUAAACAUGGUAACCUGCAUUGCAAUCCAUACAUAAUUUACGUUAAUUUUUUGAGUGUUUUAUAAUUUUUAAAUUAUUUUUUGAUGUGACAUAUAAGAAAAUUAAUGUUUUGUUAACAUGAAAUACAUGUAAAUUGAUGUGGAGGUUAACAUGCUAACAUUGUUGAAAAAAUAAUAUUUUAAUCAAUAUUUCUAUUAAAAAAUGAUUUAACUCUUUUUAAAAGAUUAAUAGUAAAAUUCAAAUAAAGGUAAUAAAAUUUAAAUUCAAAAAAAAAUAAAAAUUGAAUGAUAAAUUUAUGAAUUCCAUAUAAAAAAUUUAUCAAACUACAUGGAUUAGCAGUGCAUUUUGAGAAUAAUAUUAAUUCCUCAGAGUUCUCAAAGUUGGGAUGACGAGGAAUAGGGCAUUAUUUCCCGUAAAAGGAGCGGAUGCCAUGAUCAGGCAAAGGGUCCAUCGAUAAGAUGUGGGCUAGGCCUUCAAUGGAAUCACGAUGCUUUUGGUAAGCGAUAUUAGAUCCAGUGAUCUCACUUAACCAACGAAAAUCAUGGAACUCUGUCACUUGUUCAUUUGACACUCCAAACCCUCUGGACCCCAAAAGAUAAUCCUAAAAUAAUCUAGCCUUAAAAAAGCAAUUAUACAUUUUCCAACAACCCAUUUAUUUUUUGUAUUGACUGAUUUUCAAACUCUUUUAGAAACAAGUCCAUAAAGUCUCUAAUUCAAAUCGUAGUAAUUUUAUCCUUGUAAGUUUUCAUAGAUGAGUUUUGAUUCAACAAUGUAUAAUGCACAUGAUUUGUGUUCUCUUACUCUAUCUUCAUGCACACAGAAAUUUCAAUAGAAUAGAGACAUCACUAAGCUUAUUGAUAAAUUUAUUGACUAAAUCAACAACACUUUGCAAACUUUCAUAAGUAAAAAUCCUUCAACAAUUAGAUCUAAUAACACAGUGUUAAUAACAAAAUUUUUUAAUAUUUUUAAGUUCUCAAUUCUAAAAUAAAAUUAAAAAAUACAUUAGUAAUUUUAUGGUAAAAUUUAUUGUUUUUAAAAUUAAUUUUUCCUAAACAAAUUGCUAUUUAAUUAACUAAUCAAGCAAACCCGAUUAACAAAUUAAAAAAAGAAAACGCCAUUACAAAGGAAUAAAAGUCCGUAGUUUAUGUUGAAUCAAGCGUAAAAUUAAUAUAAAUUUCGGUUAAAAAUUUGAACAACACUCCAUUUUCAGUUAAACUCUAUUAUCAAAUCAAUUUGAUUAAUUUUAAAUUUAUAUGGUUAAAUUUUACUAUUAAUUUUAUAUUAUACAUAAAUUAUAGAUUUAAUCCAUGUUUUUCGAUCGUAUCAUUCUUAGUCUUUAUGUUUUUUGAAAUUAGAAUUUCGGUCUUGAUACAACCGACAACCCAUUAAAUCAAUUAAUCGAAUUUUUUAAUAAUAUGAGGAAAUAAUAUAGUUUUGACAUGUUUUAAAAAUAAAUAACUUAAUAAAUUUAAUAACUAUAUUUUGUGGUUUUUAAAUUUUUAAAAUUUGAAAGGUACAAAGAUUGAAAAUAAUCAAACUAAAAUAUAAGUACUAAAUCUAUAACUUUCACAUAGUAUAAGUACUAAUAGAAGAAUUUAACCCUCCAUUUUAUCUUCAUUUUUUUUAAAGGAGGUAAAUUUAUUGUGAGAAAACAUGUGAAGGGCAAUGGAGUUAGCACUCGGUUUUGGAGUCAAGUCGAAAGGGGGAAAAGCAAAGGGUGGAAGUAUUGUGGUUUUGAGUGGGCGACGUUGUGGUGAUAAUUCAUAUAUGCCCACUUACCAUUCCCCAGGUAAUAUUUUCUUGCUGCUUUGCAAUCAGAACAGUUUUGGAAAAUUGGGUUUUCUUAUAAUUGUUUUAAGAAAAAGGAGCUGCUAUUGAUUUGAUUAUUACAAUGGCACUGGCAUAUAUUCAGUUUUGUUGAGUGGAACAUGUUGGGGGGCAGCUAUUUUGAAUGCUGUUGGUUGAUCACUUGGUGCAAAUAUUCCCAUUUGAUAUCUUGGUCAGGUGAGAUUGCAACAGAAAUGUCCACAUCUGUUCAUCUUUGUUUCAAGCUGGACUUUCCUGACCCAUUUGUUUGGGUUGGGCUCUUGUACUUCACCAUUUUAGUUGUCUAUAUAUUUGUUUUCAAGAAGGGUUCGGACCUGUCGGGCUUAAAGUGGUUUUAAUGUAUGGUGUACUUGAUUAGGUAAGUCUAAAAUCAUUUAGAAUAUGGAUUUGUUCCUAAUGUAAACGUGUGGCCUAAGAUUUUGUCUUUGUUAAUAAGGUUAAAAGAUUCUAUAGGAAAAGUGGAGAAGGCGAAAUUUGAUUUGACUUGGGCCAUUCUGUCAAAAUCAUGUUCAACUUGAUGUUUAGAAUGAACUUGGAUGGGUUUCCAAUCUAAUGUUCAAUCUAAACCAGAAACUAAUGUGUAUGAAUGCAAAUGAAAAAGUGUAACAUCGUCAAAAUUGUUGGUAUAAGAACCAUGACUACAACCAGGCGUUAAAGCUGGGAUUAUAGAUUCCACAACCAUUUUAGAAGCAAAUUGACUGAACCAUGAUGUGUGUUUGGUUUGGGUCAUAUGGGAUAAUGGAGAAUCUUUGGGGUCCCCCAAGAUAUUAAGCUAAUUUAUAAAAAUAAAAAUAAAAAGCCUUAAAAGAACGCAAUGGAUAAAGAUGGACGAUGGAUGAUGGAAGAUGGAAGAUUGGCAGUGCUUACUGAUCAUAUUCAUGUGCCUGAUGUCAGUGCCACGUCCUUCCUCCUGCAUAAUCCAAAUUUAGUAACACGUAAUAAUUAAAUGAUUAAUAUGUACUAUUUUAAUUUUCUUUUUAAAAGGAAAAUUAAAUUCGAAUAUAUACGAAAAAAGAAGCAUAGUAAUUUUUUUGGUCUUUUAAUUUUAUCAAAUCACUUUAAAAAAUAGAUAAAAAAAAUAUUAAUUUUAACUAAUAUAAUAUAUAUAUAUGGAUUAUGACGAGAACAACACGAAAAAAGAAGCAACACACGUGAUUGUAAUGUAUAAUCGGUUUAUUUGCUUUGUUUUCUAAAUACGUAUGUACCAACCACGUGGCCUUAGCUUUCACCGUAUUAACUUUUGCUUUCAUUCUUGAAACUUCCGAGUCAUUUUCACUUAAUAGUAAUCUACCACCAAUCGCUGUAAAGAGAUAUUGGAGAAAUAACAGGAUGAAAGAGAACAAAGUCAAAUGGUCAAAGCUUUUUUCUUUUCUUAUAUUUUUAUUAUUUCAUUUUGGGUAAACUUGCUUUUCUUUUUUGAAUUUGGUUACUUAUAGUUAAAUUUAUAUAUUUUCUUUUAACACUAUUAGGCUGGCAAUAAUACGAUAUUCAUGAUCAAUAACACGACUAGUUUCAAAAUAUUAUUAAUACAAGAAGGAUAGGCAUUGGUCCAAACUCCAAACCAUCAUGAGCUACGAGACUAAGUCUGCCUAAUCCGUGAGCAGCCUUGUCUUGGACUGAAUUGCAGUGCACAACUGAAAAACAUGUAUCUUCAACGUACAUAAUACUACAUAGGGGUCGUCACAUAAGACAAUGAGCAAUGGGCGCUUGUCUUCUUCGUGGACAUGGUUGGUUUCUAAACACCAAAGUGGCCCGCAGUUCAAAGCCCGUGACAAGCGCACCAAAUGCAUCCAAUGGAGGUCUGUUGCUCAGAUGGGGAUCAUUUGGCCUACGAGAACUGGCCCGAUUCAAAGAGCUGUUGGACAGGCCUGUCACAUUGAAGCCUGAUGGGCCCGAUAAUGAAGAUAGGACUAAGUAGUCUUAGAAGUUCUAAUUGUACACAGCUUCUAAUUCUGUAAAGUUAGAGUCCUAAUUGAAUACAGCUUUUAAUUGUAGCCAUCGGUUUUGGGGGAGCUCAACUAUAAAUAGAGAGCCUCCCCCUCAUUUGUACUCACUCCUGUAAUUGUUUUAUUAUUCUUUGUGAAUAAGAAUCGAGAGCAUUUACUCAAACUAUUCUCUCAAGCGUUCUUGCUUUUGUUCAUCUUUCAAAGAUCGUUCUUAAUUCGUUCUUCCGCUGUUCUUCAUGGAAACUUUAAGGGAAUUCUGUUGAAUCCUUUAUUGUUGCGAGUUGAGCUGACUUAGGCGUUUUUUACGGUUGAAUCCAUUAUUGGUGGAAGUUAGGCUGACUUAGGCAUUUUUAAGCCAAGAAACUGCCUAAGGCCGCACGGAUGUGUGGGAAAACUUCAAGUCCGUGACAAGUGGUAUCCGAGCCAAGGGUUGAACCAAGUGAUAUCUGAGUUGUUGGUUCAAAGGCACCGUUAGGAUGUCGAGAGAAGAGUUCGAACAAAGGUGGGCGAGGAAGUCUUUGAAGGAGACAAUAUCGGCAGUAGAGGAACGUGUGGGUAAACUCGAGGGAUCCAUGGAGGAUGUAAAGGAGGCACUCGAUGGGGUCGAGGAUCACAUAGCAAACUGGAAGGAGCAGUCCAGAGACUAUGUAAAGAUGUCUCUUGGUUCCACCAUGGACAAGGUAAACGAGUUGUUUAAUUCACACAGGGAUAAGUUGUCGGAAAGGAAUGAUGCUCUCGAGGCCAUAAUGAUGGCUUUGAAGGAGGAAACAAUGGCCACGACGAGGGCUUUGAGCACAAGAAUAGAGGAGCUCGAGGGAGAGCUAGCCUUGUGCCAAGCAGCCGUGGGGAAAGGAGUGGCAAAUGCAGCACUCAGUAAUGAGGAUGUCCCAAAGCCGAAAAAGUUUGUGGGGACAAGGUCUGCAUGUGACGUGGACAAUUUCUUGUGGAGGAUGGAAAACUACUUCCGUGCCAAAGGCAUUAUGGAGGAUGCGGUUAAGGUAAACACUGCUUCAAUGUUUCUUACUGACAUUGCGCUUUUAUGGUGGCGAGGUAGGACCACAGAUAAAAGGCAAGGUGAGAUUGGGACGUGGCAAGAGUUCCAAUGCUAGUUGAAGGGACAGUUUUACCCAGAAUUUGCCGAGGAAGAAGCUCGGGCAAAGUUGCAAGAGAUAAUGCAACGGGGCACAGUGAGGGAGUAUGUUCAAGAGUUCAAAGAACUCAUGCUCCAAAUUUCAGAUGUGACCGAUGAAGAAGCAUUGCUUGCUUUUCAAAAGGGAUUGAAGCCGUGGGUUAGACAGGAGGUGGAACAAAGAGGUGUCCAAAAACUGUCGGAAGCCAUGACGGUAGUUGAGUCCGUGGUGAAGCUUGGUCUAGGGAAAGACAAGCUUGGGUCUUCCAAGUCCGAUGGAAGGGGCGUAUGUGAAAUGGAUCACAAGGAAGAUAGAGUUAAUGGCAAUGACAACGGCGACAAUGGUGGUAAUGGGAAACCACGAGUUGGGAAGAAGAAACCCAAGAGGAAAAGGGACAAGCUAAAAUGCUUUCUCUGCGACGGUCCACACAUGUUAAAAAAAUGUUUGAAGAAAUCCGCGCUUAAGGAGAAGCCGGUAGGUAAGGCCUUGGUACUUGGUUCGAGCGCAAGGGGUGUCGAAGCCAAGGAGGCCGAAAGCGAGAAGAAGCCAGUGGAGUGCUUCUUGUGUCAUGGUCCGCAUAGGUUGCGGAAGUGUCCGAAGAAGUCUGUCAUCGAGGGGAACGGUGGAGCAGACAAUGAGCCCAAGAAGCUUGGUUCGAGCAAGGGAAAAGCCAAAGCCAAGAGGGCAAAGAGGAGCAAAAAGAAGCAAGUUAAGUGCUUCUUGUGCCGUGGUCCGCAUGAGUUGCGGAACUGUCCAAAGCAAGCCGGAGUCGAAAGAAACGCAACGUCUGAGCUUUGUGAGUCGUCGAAGGGGCUUCCACCCAAGGAAGAGGUGAGUUUGUCAUCUAACUUAGCGGAUAAAGUUGCGAUGAAAACAGUGAAGCUGGGACCAAUGAGGCUCAAGUUGAGUGAAGUAUCAGAGUUAGCCGAGUCAUCGACAAGGCUUCCACCUAUGGGAAAGGUAGGUGGUGCAUCAGACUUUAAAGGAAAAGAAGCGAUGCAUGUGGGACAGUUGACCAGAGUAAAUGCGACGAGCAGGACGGCUCGAGUUAAGAAGCGACAAAAGUCGAGGCAAGAAUCCCAAAGAAAGGGAAAGGCUAAGGCGACGAGACGAGACCGAGGCGAAUCAAGUCAGUGCCAUUCAGAAGUCGCAACGAGGGCGUUGCGAGAAUGGGUGGGGGAGAAUGUCACGGACCGUAGUUCAAAGCCCGUGACAAGCGCACCAAAUGCAUCCAAUGGAGGUCUGUUGCUCAGAUGGGGAUCAUUUGGCCUACGAGAACUGGCCCGAUUCAAAGAGCUGUUGGACAGGCCUGUCACAUUGAAGCCUGAUGGGCCCGAUAAUGAAGAUAGGACUAAGUAGUCUUAGAAGUUCUAAUUGUACACAGCUUCUAAUUCUGUAAAGUUAGAGUCCUAAUUGAAUACAGCUUUUAAUUGUAGCCAUCGGUUUUGGGGGAGCUCAACUAUAAAUAGAGAGCCUCCCCCUCAUUUGUACUCACUCCUGUAAUUGUUUCAUUAUUCUUUGUGAAUAAGAAUCGAGAGCAUUUACUCAAACUAUUCUCUCAAGCGUUCUUGCUUUUGUUCAUCUUUCAAAGAUCGUUCUUAAUUCGUUCUUCCGCUGUUCUUCAUGGAAACUUUAAGGGAAUUCUGUUGAAUCCUUUAUUGUUGCGAGUUGAGCUGACUUAGGCGUUUUCAAGUCCGUGACAAGGGUCUUAGCUUUGCUGCAUCCAUUUCCUUAUUGUUUGGAAUUAUGUAUUUGUUUGGUUUCUUUUCUCCCAAAUUCUUCCACAUCAACAGACCCACUUUUGUUUUUUGUUCUUUAUAUAAUCUCAAUCCACCACUCUUUACUGCAGUUCCCUCAUGUUUGGAGGUCACAAUCAAUACUAAUACCUUUUUAUACUUUGGGGUUAAAAAAACACCCUUGUAUUCCUCAUUUCUUUAAUAUAUCAUCUUUAAUAUAAAAUUAAUAAUUAUAAAAAAUAAGUUUGGAAAAUAAGAUUUAAUAACUUAUUCUGCAUUUAGAUUAAUUAAUCUAUAAUAUACCGAAGUCUUUCGAACAAACGAAAAUAAUUAUUAUGAUUCAAUUUUUAUUUAAAAUAUCAUUAUAAAUAUUUUUAUAGUUGUCGGAACCAUUUUUAAUUUGAAAAACGGGAGUCGACUUAAAACCAAAAAUAGAGUCACCACCGAUCUUUUUCGAGGUGUGAUCGGGAUCACCUUGAGAUUGAUCAUUUUAAUAAAACAUUUUAAUUUAUUAAAACAAUGAUUUUGGGUCUACGAAAUUUGAGAAAAAGGGUUUGGGAGUCGGUUACGCACGAGGAAGGGUUAGCACCCUCGUAACGCCCAAAAUUGGUACCUAAUUGAUUAAUUAAUUUCCUUACGUCUAAAAUAAAUAAAUAAAAUUUGAAAUGCAAUUUCUUUUAAAACAUUUGAAUAAAUCAAAUUGAACAUUAAAAUUCUCUUGUUUUGAAGGAAUAUAAUAUCACAUCCAGCACGUUAGGACAUGAUUCUUUAGACCUUUGAAACCACGAUCAAUUAUUGAUUUCCAAAAGCUCAUACAUUUGAAAAUUACAAAAGGAUAUUCAAUUAUUUGGUCCAACGAAAAAUCGAAACCCAACACAUUAGGGCACGAUUUCUCGGAUUUCCAAACAUAGAACAUUGCGUUUAUUUUUUAGAAAUUCUUAUCUCGAGAUACAAAAUGUUAUAUCCAGUGAGUUAGGACACAACACCUCGAAUUCCUGAGAAUAAUCUUUUAUUUGAAACUUAUGGGUUUUGAUUGAAAAAUGGGUUCUCGGUUACUUAAAUCCAACGAGAAAAAUUGGAACCCAGUAAGUCAGGACACAAUAUUCUCAAAGGUGCCAAAAGUAUUGCCUUAUUUUGAAAACUUUUGAAUAAAAUAAUUUUAAAACUUAAACAAUAUUAAAACACGACCUUUUAAUCGAAUAAAGUGCGAUGGAAUAAUAAUGUAUAACGCAAAGUAAUAAUUCAUAAACAAAAUGCUAUAAUAAUGAAUCACAAAUAACAAAUAAAUACAAAAUAAGAAAAUCUAAAAUAAAAUACAAAACAAUUCUAAGCAAAUGAUACAUAAAAAGAAUUUAAAAUAGAUGUUAUAAAAGCGAUCUAAAGUAUAUAAAAUAAUUUUAAAAAAAAUUAGUAUCUAUUCAAGAUAAACUAAUAUAUAAAACUCUUUAAAAAUAAUAUAUAAACAAUUCAAAAUAUAUAAUGUGUAAAAAAAAGUUUGAAAUACAUAAUAUAUGAAAAUAUUAAAAUAAAUAAUGUAUAAAAAUUUGAAAUUAGCGUUAUAUAAAAAGUUAAAAUAGAUAAUAACAAAAAAAUGUAAAAUAAAUAAAUAAAUAAAUAAAUAGAAUGUUAAUAACAAAAGUAAAAAACAUAUAUAAGAAAAAUAAUAAUGAAAAUAAUAUUAAUAUAUAAAUAGAAAUAAAAAUAUAAUAAAUAGAAAUAUAAUAAUAGUAGAAAUAUAAAUAGAUAAAUAAAAAUUAAAUAAAUAAUAAUAUUAUUAGAAUAAAAAAUAAAUAUAAAUAGAAACAUAAUAAUAAUAGCAAUAAUAUAUUAAAUUAGUUAAUUUGAUAAUAAAAUAGCGAAAAUAAAAAAAAGAUUAAAUCGAACCUUAAAGCAAAAUUUUGGAGCAAAUAAAAAAUAAAUAAAAUGAAAUGGACCAAUUUGAACAUGCAAAUAACAAGGAGGGACCAAAAGGGAAAUAAUCCUCACCCUCCAAAACGCAUAGCUUCAAGGAGGACCAAAAUGCAGUCAAAAAAAUUUUAGGGUAAAAAAAAUGAAAACUUAAUUGCAAAACAAUAAAAAAACGAAAAGGCUAAAAACAAUUGGACGGAUUUAGAAAAAAACUAAUAAAUUAAAAUGAAAUGGACAAAAUUCUCACAUAAUUGAAACAGAAAAGAAAAUAAUUCAAUUCCAAUAGAAAUAGGAAAAGAGUGAAUAAUCUAAUUCCAAAUUGAAGUAGGAAUACCAAAGUCCUCAAAGUCUCCCCUUUCAAAAAUCAAAAUAACCCUAUUUAUAUGCAUGGGAUUUACUAAAAAUAGUCUAAAUAAUUUAAUAAUAAAAUAAAAUAAAAUAAAAACAAAAAAAUCAUAUCUUCCUAUUUUUAGCCUUUUAUUAAGUCAACAAAUUUUGAACUCAUAAGCUUUCUCCAUCUUUUUGAUUUAGCCAUAAUUUAAUAAUUGUCUUUCAAUUUGGCCCUUUUUAGCUCGUUUUUGACCGAUUGCAUCUUUUGACUUUAUUUAUUCGAUUAUUAUUUUUUGGAGCCCAGGCCAAAAUUAGCCUAUUACAAUCGUUAAUAACAUUUAUUUAAUUAAAAUAUUGAUUUUUUAAUAACAUUUACCUAUUCUAAUUUUUUGAAUCAGCAUAAAUUAAUGAGUUUUCAUCUAUCUUUGAUAAUCAAUGAAAAUCAAAAUUAUUUGAUCCUCUUCAUCAUCAUCAUCUACUACUAUAAUAAUAAUAAUUAUUAUUAUUAUUAUUAUUGGAGAUUCAAGGAAAAGGAAUCAACCUUUGAUUUAUAAUAGAAAAAUCAAUAUUUAAUCUUAUUUUUUUUUAUUUUUUUUAUAUAUGUUUAACAUUUAUCUAAUGAGCAAAAACCAAUGAUAUGUUUGAAUUAAACAAAUAUUUAAUUUAAGUUUAGCUUAAACCUAUUUAUUCAAGUUAUUUUCGAUUUAUAUUAUGUCGGGUUGAAUUAUUUUAGAUUUGAAUUAAUUUUAAAUUGAAUUAAUUUCGAGUUUAAAUUAAUUUAAGUUUAAGUUACAGUAUAAAUAUAAAUUUACUCAACAUGAUUUUUAUUUUGAAAAACAAAACUAGAAUCAUCUCUACUUCAAAUAAAAAUAUAUUCAAAUCAUAUAUAGGACGUUAAUUAUUUACAUUGGGCCUCGAUUUUUAAGUGUUGCUCACAUAAAAGUCAAACAUUUUUUAAAAUGUUUAAAUAAAACUCAAUGUAAUGACCCGAAUUUUACAAUUAUCAAAAAAGUGCAUUUUCGGGUCUUUGUUUCUGAAAAAUAGAUUCGUAAAUAUUUAUUAAAAAUAUUUACGAAGUUAAGUGAGUGAUUAAUUUAAAGUUUAAUGAAGUGAAUUAACUUAAAUUAAGGAUAAUUAGAUAAAAAGGAUUAAAUUGAAUGAAGAGUGAAAGUUUAAUUAUAGAAUAAAAAAAGUAAAGCAAAUAAGCCAAAAAGGGAUGACAAAUGUAUGGUUAAAAUAAGUUAAAUGUGUACAAAUAUAAAUGGUACACAUGUAUUAUACAUGUGUAUUUACUUAUUAUAUAAGUAAAAUAAUAAUAAUUAAAGUUUAUUAUAUUAAUAUUAUUUUAUAUUAAAUAAAUAAAUAAAUAAAAGUUGUGACAAGUGUGAGGUGAUAAAUGAAUACAUGUGUAUUAAUAAAUAUACACAUGUAUAAAUAAUAAAUAUUAUAAUAGUUUAAUAGUUUAAUUAAAAAAAAACAAAGAAAUAAAUAAAUAAAAGAAAUGAAAAAGAGAAACAAAGAAAACGAAAUAGAGAAGAACAGGGGAGAAAGAAAGGGAAGAAAGGGAGAAAAGGGAAAAUCAAGGUUUUGAAGCUUGAACUUUAAUAGGUAAGUUAAUUUAGCUUUUUUUACAUCGUUUUGAUGUUUUAAAAGUUUUAGAACAAAGUUUUGAUGAAAUUACGUUGAUAUUUUGAAAGUUAUUAGAUUUCUAGGUAAUGUUCAUGUUGAGUAAAAUGAUGAAAUAAGGGUUAAAUUGAUAGAAAUUCAAGUUAGAAAUGAAAUAAGGAUUGAAUUGUAAACUAAUUCAUAAAUUUUAUGUUGUAGGGACUAAAUUGAUGAAAUUUCGAAAUUAGGAAAUAUGUUGGAAAAUCAAUAGUUGAGUAUGAGUUUGAACAAAAUUUGAAUAGAAAUGAAGUAUGAAUUAAGAUAGAAAAAGUAAGUGAAUUUAGUUAAGAUUAAAUUGAGAUUAAAGUAGAAAUUGAAUAGAAAUUGUAUUAAUUAGAUAUAAAUUAGUAGUGAAUUAAUGAAUAUGAAUUGUUUUAAUUCCCGUAGCUAAUGUUGUCUUGGGAAAUCUCGGCUAAGCAAGGAAAAAUGACAAAGACAAUGGGAGUUAGCUCGAGAAAAUAUGGUUUGUAUUUCUAUAAACCGAAUUUAAUAAUUAUUUGUUGAAUUUAUUAUUUAUAUGAAUGGUAAGUAUUAUUAUUAUUAUUAUUAUUAUGGUAUUAAACUGAAUAAAAAUUCAUAAAUUAUUAGUGAUUAUUGAUAUUGAAUAGAAUAUGUGAAUAUUGAAUGAAGAAUUGAAAAAUGUAUAUUGUAUUGAAAUUGAAUUACAUGUGAAUUGAUAUGGAAAGGUAUUGAAAUGAAGAGUAAGUAAAUUAAGAAUGGAAAGUGGAAAUUGAAAAUUGACUGGAUACCCUAUUAACAAUGUCGGGUUAGUCGGAUAUAGUUAGCAUGCCAUAGGAUCAGAGGAGUUAGGGAUAUUCCGACUGUGUGUCGAUGAGACAUUAUAUGUGUCGACUAUUGUGACUGUUCCGGAUUCGUUCUGAAGAGGUACUCUAUACCUGACUGUUACUGUUUCGAAUUUGUUCGGAUGAGGUACUUUGUGUACCGUUACUGUUACUGUUACCGAUACGAUGUAUUCCGGCUUCGACCGAUGAAACACCGUGAAAUAUCCCUGGUGUGUGGGUUGGAUUUAAGUCCGUGUAUUCGUCGGGUCCGAGUCAUGUUAAUAGGGAUAAUCAAGGAUAUCAAAGAAUGAAUGUUAUUAAUUUAUUAUUCAUUAACUUAAAGACUGCUUGAUUAUAUAACAAAUGAAGAUCACUGUAUAGUAAUGAAAGUAUAUUGAAGAUCGAUUAAUAAGGUUUUAAAGCUAAAUAAUGAAGAGUAAAUGGUUGAAGUAUUAAGAUUCUAAAGUAAUGCUUAAAGUUUAAGAAUACAUGAAUGUUGACUGCUAAUGAAAGGUAUAAAUGGACAAUAAAGGUAGACCGAAUCAAAUGGUAAGGUUUAUAUGUUAUGAAAUUAAGUUAUAUGACUAAAGUAUAGAGACUAUGAAGUUAAAGCUUAAAGCUCGAAUGUAUAUAUGAAUGACGGGUAUUAUUAUUUAGUGAUUUACAAGUUUAUUAUGAUUAAUAUAUGACUUAAUUAAAUGUUAAAUUUCUUACACUAUUCAGUACUUCUGUUUAUAGAAAUACCACUGAGUUUAUACUCAGCAUACGGUUUGUUUCCGUGCGCAGGUUAGGUUAAAGAAAGAUCGUCGAAUCAGCAUCCUAAGCCGAUCCCGGACUCAACAAGGUAAAAUAUGUUAAUUGUUGAUAAUGGCAUGUACCUAGGCUAUUAAGUUAAUAGAGUAAAAAUGUUCAAGAAUGGUUUAAAGAUAUUAGGUCUUAAAAUGAAAUAUACAUGCUUGAAAGUUAAUAUAAGUAAGUUGUUUAAGAUUGUAAACAAAAUUUUAAGUCAAUCUAGACUGUGGUACCAUUGAGAGAACAUUGGUUGAAUGUUUUAUUGUCAAGUUGGGUUAGCAUUAAAUAUGUUUAAUUGAGUUUUAAUCAUGUUGAGAGUCGGUAAAAAAAAUGUUAUCUUAAAGCUUACGUUUUUACAAGGUUAGUAACUUGCAAAACGAAGCUCAUCAUAAGUCCACACGGCCAGGUCACACGGGCGUGUCAUCAGAUCAUGUAAGACACAUGGCUCACGCACGGGCGUGCGCUUUGGCCGUGCAAAAUUAACCGAUUCUAAAGAAAAACAACACGGUGUUUCCACACGGACGUGUAAGAAGGGUACACGGGCGUGUCUCCUAGGUCACACGGGCGUGUGACACUAUUCACAAAAGGAAAUUUUUAAGUUUUCACGAAAAUUUUUAUAAGCUUCCGGUCGAACCCCGGUUGGAUUCAAAUGUUUAUAGUAAUCAAUAUAGGCCCAUUUAAGAUACAAAAUGACAUAAUUUUAAUUUAUUAUCAUAAUUAUCCCCGUCUAAUGUAUAAAAGUAUUGUAAAGACUGGUAAUGCUCCGUAAUCCUGUUCCGGCGACGGGACAAGGUUAAGGGGGUAUUACACUAAACCUAUUCGAAAUUGUUCAAAUAAAGGCUUCUCAAGUUUUAAAUUAUGUAUCCAUUAUUUUCGUUGACUAGUUAAGAAGUUCAAAUAAAGCGCAUGAAUGUUACUAGUUAAGAAGUUUACUUUUCGUUGACUCCCAAAAAUUCAAUAAAAAAGUUCAAGAACAAAAGGUCUUAGAUGUACAUUAUAUUGGCAUUUUGGGCUCAAUGCACGAAUCCACCCUCUCAACUUGGUUCUUAUUAGUUCAUUGGAGUACAAUGGCUUAUAAAAAAUGGGUCUCAUGGUCUUUCUUUCAGGAACUUGGAUUUGAUUCUUUUGAAAUAUCUUAAGUGUUGUUUCAUAAGUUGAGAAAUUAAGUAUUGAAAAUUUAACUAUUGAAAUUUAAGUUAUAAAAUUGUUUGACAUAUUACUUAAAUUAAUUAUGGAAUACAAUUAGAUUGUUUGAUAAAUAUAAAAUUUAAAUUAUAAAAAAUAAAUUUCACAUUUAUCCUUAAUUUUUAAACAUUUCACCUUAUUCUAAACAAAAAUAAAAAAAUUAAACCUAAAAUUUUUAUAGAAUAAUAUAAUAUUAAAAUAAAUAAAAUAAAAUAGAAUUAAUUAAAAAUAUUCUCGUAGUUCUUAUUUACUUAUUAAUUUCCAUAAUUUUUUUAUAAAAAGACUCUAUUAUAUUAUUUUUAUUUUGGAUUAUUAAACAUGUGGAAAAAAUAAAUCAUUAAAACUAUUUUUUUAAUCUCUACAAAAUCAAUGUAAAUAAAUGAAUGAUAUUAUCAGUGUAAAUUAUAAAUGUUAAAUGCACAUAUUUGGAGUUAAUUGGCCUACACGUUAACAAUUUGGGGGUAAAAGACGGUCAAACACAGGUUAGGUUACAAUUCUUGGGUUAAACUAAAAAAAUGCAAGAUUAUGCCUUUGAGACAUGCUUUCCUUGUUUCGUGAUUUUGACUUUAAAAUUUAAAACCAUAUUUAUACAUUUUUAGCUUAUUCAUUUCAUAAAUUCUUUAAAUAAUAUAUAUAUUUAUAUGUGUAUAUAUGUUACAAAGUUUUAUCUAAAAUACGAAAUUUUUAGCAAUGUUAACAUUAUAAAUUUUUUACAUUUAUCCCUUUUGGCUUAUUUGUGUUAUAAUUUCUUUAAAUUAUAUAUAUUAAAAGAUUUUAGCUAAAAAAAAUAGCUAUAAUCACCUUAUACAAUUUUUAUAUUUGGUAUUAAACUAAAUUGUGACAUGUUUAUACCCUUUUUGGCUUAUAAAUUUUAAAAAAUAAUAUAUUUAUUACCUUACAAGAAUUUAUUUGAAAAAGGAAAGUUUUAGUCAUGUUCACAUUUAAUUUAGGUAACGCUUCUUUUAUCCGCCACUAAUACUUUGUUUUGCAAAAUUAAUUAAAUUGUAACAAACCCACCUUAUUUGUUCAAUUCCCUGCUUUAUAUAUACCUUCAAAUCCCCUCCCCAUCUCCUGGCAAGCCCCUUUUUAAUUCCAUCAUUAGUUCUCCAGUAACCAACAAAGGUCCCCCACAUAAAAAACAAAAAAAAAACAAAAAAAAAAAGAGGAAGAAGAAGAAGAAGAGGAGAUUUAACUAUGGCAGAAACCCAGAGCCGUGGCCUUGUUUUCGCCGGGAAGAAGAGAGGAACAGGAACCGAUGACUUUGACGGGGAUGAUAUUUUCGUGGCUAAGAAAUCAAUGUUGCCCACAAUGGCAUCGGAAAGCGACCCUGCCGCUGCAUUAGCCAACGCUCGCCAUGAAUUCGGUGAACAUGGUGGUGUUAACAUGUCCAUUGAAGCCUCCGCCACCUUCACCGUCAUGGAACCUGAGACCAUGCGCCGUAUGUUCGCCGGUGAACUCGGUCCUGAUCGUGAUUUCUUCAUCUAUAGCCGUCAUUUUAACCCCACCGUCUUAAAUCUUGGCCGUCUCAUGGCAGCCCUG
rnacentral:lncRNA from 1 species